rnacentral:lncRNA from 1 species
CGUGUUUUUUGUUUCGCAGAAAAUCCAUAUCAAACAGAGUCCAAACGGGAUAAAAACUGAUGGAGAUUUUUUUGGAAUAUAUGUGAUUUUUGGGAAGAAGAAUCAACGCAAUACGAAUCCCAAGGGGGCCAUGAGGCAGGGGCGCGCCCCAAGGGGUUAGGCGUGCCAUGGGCCCUCGUGGCCACCCCGUAAGGCGGUUGGUGCCCUUCUUUCGCCGCAAGAAAGCCAAUAUCCAGAUAUAAAUUGUGUUAAAAUUUCAGCCCAAUAGGAGUUACGGAUCUCCGGGAAUAUAAGAAACGGUGAAAGGCCAGGAUCAAAAGCGUAGAAACAGAUAGACAAAGAGACAGAUCCAAUCUCGGAGGGGCUCUCGCCCCUCCGCCGCCAUGGAGGCCAUGUACCAGAGGGGAAACCCUUCUCCCAUCUAGGGAGAAGGUCAAGGAAGAAGAAGAAGAAGGGGGCCCUCUCCCCCUCUCUCCCGGUGGCGCCGGAACGCCACCGGGGCCAUCAUCGUGUGUCGGCGAUCUACACCAACACCUCCAUCAUCUUCACCAACAUCUCCAUCACCUUCCCCAUCUAUCUAUAGCGGUCCACUCUCCCGCAACCCGCUGUACCCUCUACUUGAACAUGGUGCUUUAUGCUUCAUAUUAUUAUCCAAUGAUGUGUUGCCAUCCUAUGAUGUCUGAGUAGAUUUUUGUUGUCCUGUCAGUAAUUGGUGAAUUGCUACAAUUGGUUUAAUUUGCUUGUGGUUAUGUUGUUGUCCUUUGGUGCCCAUCAUAUGAGCGCGCGCGUGGAUCACACCAUAGGGUUAGUUGUAUGUUGAUAGGACUAUGUAUUGGAGGGCAAUAGUGAUAGAAGCUUCAAUCUAGCAAGAAAUUGAUGCAUACGGGAUUGAAGGGGGACCAAUAUAUCUUAAUGCUAUGGUUGGGUUUUACCUUAAUGAACGUUAGUAGUUGCAGAUGCUUGCUAAUGGUUCCAAUCAUAAGUGCAUAGAAUUCCAAGUCAGGGAUGACAUGCUAGCAGUGGCCUCUCCCACAUAAAACUUGCUAUCGGUCUAGUAACGUAGUCAAUUGCUUAGGGACAAUUUCGCAACUCCUACCACCACUUUUCCACACUCGCUAUACUAAAUUUAUUGCUUCUUUACCUAAAGCAGCCCCUAGUUUUUAUUUACAUGCUCUUUAUUAUCUUGCAAACCUAUCCCGUUACACCUACAAAGUACUUUUAGUUUCAUACUUGUUCUAGGUAAAGCGAACGUUAAGCGUGCGUAGAGUUGUAUCGGUGGUCGAUAGAACUUUAGGGAAUAUUUGUUCUACCUUUAGCUCCUCGUUGGGUUCGACACUCUUACUUAUCGAAAGAGGCUACAAUUGAUCCCCUAUACUUGUGGUUUAUCAGAAUUGUGUUUUGUCGACUCCCCUAGGGUUUUUGUAACAUUUGGGUAUUUAUAGAGUUGAGAGGCGGUGGAAAGGACUCCCGUGGGCCCCACCAUCCACCUAGGCACUCCAGGGGCCUCUGGCGCGCCCUGGUGGGUCGUGGGCCCCACAGGCCUCCCAUCUGUACUUCAUUGGCUCCCAAGCUUUCUUUUGGCCAGAAAAAAAUCUCCAAAAAAAUUUGUGGCAUUUGGACUUUGUUUGUACUGAUAUUCUGUGAAGUAAAAAAUAGCAACUCGCACUUGGCACUAUGUCAAUAGGUUAGUCCCAAAAAUUGAUAUAAAGUUGCUAUAAAAUGAAUGUAAAACAUUCAAAAAUGAUAAUAUUGAAGGAAAUAUGCCCUAGAGGCAAUAAUAAAGUUGUUAUUUUAUAUUUCCUUAUAUCAUGGUAAAUGUUUAUUUUUCAUGCUAGAAUUAUAUUAACCGGAAACUUGAUACAUGUGUGGAUACAUAGACAAAACACCGUGUCCCUAGUAAGCCUCUACUAGACUAGCCCGUUAAUCAAAUAUGGUUAAGUUUCCUAACCAUAGACAUGUGCUAUUAUUUGAUGAACGGGGUCACAUCAUUAGGAGAAUGAUGUGAUGGACAAGACCCAUCCGUUAGCUUAGCAUAUUGAUCGUUCAGUUUUGUUUCUAUUGCUUUCUUCAUGUCAAAUACAUAUUCCUUCGACUAUGAGAUUAUGCAACCCCUGGAUACCGGAGGAAUGCCCUGUGUGCUAUCAAAUGUCACAACGUAACUGGGUGAUUAUAAAGAUGCUCUACAGGUAUCUCCGAAGGUGUUUGUUGGGUUGGCAUAGAUCAACAUUAGGAUUUGUCACUUCGAGUAUCAGAGAGGUAUCUCUGGGCCCUCUCGGUAAUGCACAUCAUAAGAAGCCUUGCAUGCAAAGUGGCUAAUGAGUUAGUUACAAGAUGAUGUAUUACGGAAUGAGUAAAGAGACUUGCCGGUAACGAGAUUGGACUAGGUAUGAAGAUACCGACGAUCGAAUCUCGGGCAAUUAACAUACCGAUGACAAAGGGAAUAACAUAUGUUAUCAUGACGGUUCGACCGAUAAAGAUCUUCGUAGAAUAUGUAGGAGCCAAUAUGAGCAUCCAGGUUCCGCUGUUGGUUAUUGGCCGGAGACGUGUCUCGGUCAUGUCUACAUAGUUCUCGAACCCGUAGGGUCCGCAUGCUUAACGUUCGAUGAUGAUUUUGUAUUAUAUGAGUUAUUUGAUUUGGUGACCGAAUGUUGUUCGGAGUCCUAGAUGAGAUCAUGGACAUGACGAGGAGUCUCGAAAUGGUUGAGAGGUAAAGAUUUAUAUAUAGGAAGAUAGUAUUCGGACACCGGAAGUGUUCCAGAGGGUAUUGGGUACAUAUUGGGUCGCCGAAAGGGGUUUCGGGCACCCCAGGCAAAAGAUACGGGCCUAAUGGGCCAAGAGGGGAAACGCAGGAGCCAGCACGGGCUGUUGCGCCCCCCAUAUGGGCCGCACCAGGAGGAGAAGGAAAGAGGGGAAGAGAGAAGGAAGGGGAGGGAUUCGGCCUCCCCCUUCCUUCCCUCCUCCAUCCUCCUUCCUUUCCCCUCCAGAAAACAUGGUAACGGGGGCCGAAUUGGACUAGGCCCCCAAGUAGGAUUCUCCUACUUGGGGCGCCCCAAGGCUGUCCCCCUCCCCCUCCCCCUCCCACCUAUAUAUACGUGGGGAGGGGGCGCCUAGAACACACAACAACAUCUGUUAGUCAUGUGCGGCGCCCCCCCCCCUCCAUAGAUUACACCCUCGGUCAUAUUCUCGCGGUGCUUAGGCAAAGCCCUACGCGGAUCACUUCACCAUCACCGUCACCACGCCGUCGUGCUGACGGAACUCAUAUACUUCCUCGACACUCUACUGGAUAAAGAUUUCAAGGGACGCCAUCGAGCUGAACGUGUGCCGAACUCAGAGGUGUUGUACGUUCGGUGUUUGAUCGGUCGGAACGAGAAGAAGUUCGACUACAUCAACCGCGUUGUCAAAUGCUUCCACUUUCGGUAUACGAGGGUACGUAGACACACUCUCCCCCUCUCGUUGCUAUGCAUUGAUACGUCUCCAACGUAUCUAUAAUUUUUUAUUGUUCCAUGCUGUUAUAUUAUCUAUUUUGGAUGUUUAAUGGGCUUUAAUAUACCUUUUUGUAUUGUUUUUGGGACUAACCUACUAACCAAAGGACCAGUGCAAAUUGUUGUUUUUGCCUAUUUCAAUGUUUCGCAGAAAAGGAAUAUCAAACGGAAUCCAAACGGAAUGAAACCUUCGGGAGUGUUAUUUUUGGAACAAACGUGAUCCAGGAGACUUGGAGUGGACGUCAAGAAAGAAGCGAGGAGGCCACGAGGCAGGAGGGCACGCCUAAGGGAGUAGGCGUGCCCCCCACCCUCGUGGGCCCCUCGCAGCUCCACCGACGUACUUCUUCCUCCUAUAUAUACCCAUAUACCCUGAAAACAUCCAGGAGCACCACGAAACCCUAUUUCCACCGCCGCAACCUUCUGUACUCGUGAGAUCCCAUCUUGGGGCCUUUUCCGGUGCUCCGCUGGAGGGGGAAUCGAUCACGGCGGGCUUCUACAUCAACACCAUAGCCUCUCCGAUGAUGUGUGAGUAGUUUACCCCAAACCUUCGGGUCCAUAGUUAUUAGCUAGAUGGCUUCUUCUCUCUCUCUCUGGAUCUCAAUACAAAGUUCUCCUCGAUUCUCUUGGAUAUCUAUUCGAUGUAAUUCUUUUUGCGGUGUGUUUGUCAAGAUCCGAUGAAUUGUGGGUUUAUGAUUAAGAUUAUCUAUGAACAAUAUUUGAUUCUUCUCUGAAUUCUUUUAUGCAUGAUUUAAAUAUCUUUGCAAGUCUCUUCGAAUUAUCAGUUUGGUUUGGCCUACUAGAUUGAUCUUUCAUGCAAUGGGAGAAGUGCUUAGCUUUGGGUUCAAUCUUGCGGUGUCCUUUCCCAGUGAUAGUAGGGGCAGCAAGGCAUGUAUUGUAUUGUUGCCAUCGAGGAUAAAAAUAUGGGGUUUAUACCAUAUUGCUUGAGUUUAUCCCUCUACAUCAUGUCAUCUUGCCUAAUGUGUUACUCUGUUCUUAUGAACUUAAUACUCUAGAUGCAUGCUGGAUAGCGGUCGAUGUGUGGAGUAAUAGUAGUAGAUGCAGAAUCGUUUUGGUCUACUUGUUGCAGACGUGAUGCAUAUAUACAUUAUCAUGCCUAGAUAUUCUCAUAAUUAUUUGCUUUUCUAUCAAUUGCUCGAUAGUAUUUUGUUCACCCACCGUAGAAUUUGCUAUCUUGAGAGAAGCCACUAGUGAAACCUAUGGCCCCCAGGUCUAUUCUCCAUUAUAUUAAUCUCCCAUCAACUAGUUAUUUCUGGUGCCGUUUAUUUUGCUAUCUUUAUUUUCCAAACUAUACAACAAAAAUACCAAAAAUAUUUAUCUUAUUAUCUCUAUCAGAUCUCACUUUCGUAAGUGAUCGUGAAGGGAUUGACAACCCCUUUAUCGUGUUGGUUGAGAGGUUCUUGUUUGUUUGUGCAGGUACGAGGGACUUGCGUGUAAUCUCCUACUGGAUUGAUACCUUGGUUCUCAAAAACUGAGGGAAAUACUUACGCUACUUUGUUGCAUCACCCUUUCCUCUUCAAGGUAAAACCAACGCAUGCUAAUCUUCCAGAUAAGAUAGUGAUUGACAUAGUUCUCUAGUCACCAUCACCAAGCUACUAGAACUUCGUGAUGAACUAUAAUAUGAAAGGGAUGAAGAAAACGAUUCCCGAGCUCUUCGCGAUGCUGAAAUCGGCGAAGGUAGAAAUCAAGAAAGAGCAUCAAGUGUUGAUGGUUAAUAAGACCACUAGUUUCAAGAAAAAGGGCAAGGGAAAGAAAUGGAACUUCAAGAAGAAUGGCAAGCAAGUUGCUACUCCCAUGAAGAAGCCCAAAGCUAGACCCAAGCCUGAAACUGAGUGUUUCUACUGCAAAGGGACUGGUCACUGAAAGCGGAACUACCCCAAGUAUUUUUGGCGGAUAAGAAGGAUGACAAAGUGAACAAAGGUAUAUUUGAUAUACAUGUUAUUGAUGUGUACCUUACUAAUGCUUGUAGUAGCGCCUGAGUAUUUGAUACCGGUUCCGUUGCUCAUAUUUGUAACUCGAAACAUGGGCUACAGAUUAAAUGAAGAUUGGCUAAGGAGGAGGUGAUGAUGUGCGUCAGGAAUGGUUCCAAUGUCGAUGUGAUCGCCGUCGGCAUGCUACCUCUACAUCUACCUUCGGGAUUAGUUUUGGACCUGAAUAAUUGUUAUUUGGUGCCAGCGUUGAGCAUGAACAUUAUAUCUGGAUCUUCUUUAAUGCGAGAUGGUUAUUCAUUUAAAUCAGAGAAUAAUGGUUGUUCUAUUUAUAUGAGUAAUAUCUUUUAUGGUCAUGCACCCUUGAAGAGUGGUCUAUUUUUGUUGAAUCUCGAUUGUGGUGAUACACAUAUUCAUAAUAUUGAUACCAAUAGAUGAAAAGUUGAUAAUGAUAGUGCAACAUAUUUGUGGCACUGCCGUUCAGGUCAUAUUGGUGUAAAGCGCAUGAGGAAACUCCAUGCAGAUGGGCUUUUGGAAUCACUUGAUUAUGAAUCAUUUGAUACUUGCGAACCAUGCCUCAUGGGCAAGAUGACUAAAACUUCAUUCUCCGGAACAAUGGAGCGAGCCAAUGACUUAUUGGAAAUAAUACAUAUUGAUGUAUGCGGUCCAAUGAGUGUUGAGGCACGUGGCGGGUAUUGUUAUUUUCUAACCUUCACAGAUGAUUUCAGCAGAUAUGGGUAUAUCUACUUAAUGAAACACAUGUCUGAAACAUUUGAAAAGUUCAAAGAAUUUCAGAGUGAAGUGGAGAAUCAUCGUAACAAGAAAAUAAAGUUUCUACGAUCUGAUCGCGGAGGAGAAUAUUUGAGUUACGAGUUUAGCCUUCAUUUAAAAUAAUGUGGAAUAGUUUCACAACUCACGCCACCUGGAACACCAUAGCGUAAUGGUGUGUCUCAACGUCGUAGCUGUACUUUAUUAGAUAUGGUGCGAUCUAUGAUGUCUCUUACCGAUUUGUCACUAUCAUUUUGGGGUUAUGCAUUAGAGACAGCUGCAUUCAUGUUAAAUAGGGCACCGUCUAAAUCCACUGAGACGACACCGUAUGAACUGUGGUUUGGCAAGAAACCUAAGCUGUCAUUUCUUAAAGUUUGGGGUUGCGACACUUAUGUCAAAAGCUUCAGUCUGAUAAGCUCGAACCCAAAUCGGGGAACUGCGUCUUCAUAGGAUACCCUAAGGAAUCAACUAGGUACACCUUCUACCACAGAUCCGAAGGCAAGAUCUUUGUUGCCAAGAAUGGAUCCUUUCUAGAGAAGGAGUUUCUCUCGAAAGAAAUGAGUGGGGGGGAGUAGAACUUGAUGAGUUAGUUGUACCUUCUCUCGAAUUGGAGAGUAGCACAUCAGAGAAAUACGUUCUAGUGAUGCCUACAACAACAAGAGAGGAAGCUAAUGAUGAUCAGAUGAUGAUCAUGAAACUUCGGAUCAAUUUACUACUGGACCUCGUAGGUCGAGCAGAGCACAUUCCGCACCAGAGUGGUAAGGUAAUCCUGUCCUGGAAGUAAUGUUACUAGACCAUGACGAACCAAAAAAACUAUGAAGAAGCAAUGAUGAGCCCAGAUUCUGACAAAUGGCUUAAGGCCAUGAAAUCUAAGAUAGGAUCCAUGUAUGAGAACAAAGUAUAGACUUUGGUGGACUUGCCCGAUGACCGGCAAGCCAUAGAGAAUAAAUGGAUCCUCAAGAAGGAGAUUGACGUUGAUGGUAAUGUUACUAUCUACAAAGCUCGACUUGUCACAAAAAGGUUUUUGACAAGUUCAAGGUGUUGACUAUGAUGAGAUUUUCUCACUCGUAGCGAUGCUUAAAUCUGUCUGAAUCAUGUUAGCAAUUGCCGCAUUUUAUGAAAUCUGGCAAAUGGAUGUCAAAACUGCAUUCCUUAAUGGAUUUCUUAAAGAAGAGUUGUAUAUGAUGCAACCAAAAGUUUUUGUCGAUCCUAACGGUGCUAACAAAGUGUGCAAACUCCAGCGAUCCAUCUAUGGACUGGUGCAAGCAUCUCGAAGUUGGAAUAUACGCUUUGAUAAGGUGAUCAAAGCAUAUGGUUUUAUACAGACUUAUGAUGAAGCCUGUAUUUACAAGAAAGUGAGUGGGAGCUCUGUAGCAUUUCUAAUAUUAUAUGUGGAUGACAUAUUGCUGAUGGAAAUGAUAUAGAAUUUCUGGAUAGCAUAAAAUUAUACUUGAAUAAGAAUUUUUCAAUGGAUGACCUCGGUGAAUCUGCUUACAUAUUGGGCAUCAAGAUCUAUAGAGAUACAUCAAGACGCUUGAGAAGAUUUUCAAUGAAUACAUACCUUGACAAGAUUUUGAAGGAGUUCAAAAUGGAUCAGUCAAAGAAUGACUUCUAGCAUGUAUUGUAAGGUGUGAAGUUGAGUAAGACUCAAAACCUGACCAUGGCAGAAGAUAAAGAGAGAAUGAAAGUCAUUCCCUAUGCCUCAGCCAUAGGUUCUAUAAAGUAUGUCCAAACCUGUUGUGUGCCUUGUCAUGAUUUUGGCAAGGGGUACAAUAGUGAUCCAGGAGUAGAUCACUGGACAACAAUUAAAAUCAUCCUUAGGUACCUAAAAAGGACUAAGGAAAUGAUUCUCGGUAAUGGAGGUGAUAAAGAGUUCGUCGUAAAGAGUUACAUCGAUGCAAACUUUGACACUGAUCUGCAUGACUCUAGGUCUCAAUCUAGAUAUGUAUUGAACAUGGGAGCAAUUAGCUAGAGUAGCUCCAUGCAGAGCAUUGUAGACAUAGAAAUUUGCAAAAUACAUACGGAUCUGAAUGUGGCAGGCCCGUUGACUAAACUUCUCUCACAAACAAAAUAUGAUCACACCUUAGUACUCUUUGAGUGUUAAUCACAUAGCGAUGUGAACUAGAUUAUUGACUCUAGUAAACCCUUUGGGUGUUGGUCACAUGGCGAUGUGAACUAUGGGUAUUGGUCACAUGGCGAUGUGAACUAUGGGUGUUAAUCACAUAAAGAUGCGAACUAUUGGUGUUAAAUCAUAUGGCAAUGUGAACAAGAUUAUUGACUCUAGUGCAAGAGGGAGACUGAAGGAAAUAUGCCCUAGAGGCAAUAAUAAAGUUAUUAUUUUUUAUUUCCUUAUAUCAUGAUAAAUGUUUAUUAUUCAUGCUAGAAUUGUAUUAAUCAGAAACUUGAUACAUGUGUGGAUACAUAGACAAAACACCGUUCCCUAGUAAGCCUCUACUAGACUAGCUCGUUAAUCAAAGAUGGUUAAGUUUCCUAACCAUAGACAUGUGUUGUCAUUUGAUGAAUGGGAUCACAUCAUUAGGAGAAUGAUGUGAUGAACAAGACCCAUCCGUUAGCUUAGCAUAUUGAUCGUUCAGUUUUAUUGCUAUUGCUUUCUUCAUGUCAAAUACAUAUUCCUUCGACUAUGAGAUUAUGCAACUCCCGGAUACCGGAGGAAUGCCUUGUGUGCUAUCAAAUGUCACAAUGUAACUGGGUGAUUAUAAAGAUGCUCUACAGGUAUCUCCGAAGGUGUUUGUUGGGUUGGCAUAGAUCGAGAUUAGGAUUUGUCACUCCGAGUAUCGGAGAGGUAUCUCUGGGCCCUCUCGGUAAUGCACAUCAUAAGAAGCCUUGCAAGCAAAGUGACUAAUGAGUUAGUUACAUAAUGGUGUAUUAUGGAAUGAGUAAAGAGACCUGUCGGUAACGAUAUUGAACUAGGUAUGAAGAUACCGACGAUCGAAUCUCGGGCAAGUAACACACCAAUGACAAAGGGAAUAACGUAUGUUGUCAUAACGGUUCGACCGAUAAAGAUCUUCGUAGAAUAUGUAGGAGCCAAUAUGAGCAUCCAGGUUCCGCUGUUAGUUAUUGACUGGAGAGGUGUCCCAGUCAUGUCUACAUAGUUCUCAAACCCGUAGGGUCCGCACGCUUAACGUUCGAUGACGAUUUUGUAUUAUAUGAGUUAUGUGAUUUGGUGACCAGAUGUUGUUCGGAGUCCCGGAUGAGAUCACGGACAUGACGAGGAGUCUCAAAAUGAUCGAGAGGUAAAGAUUUAUAUAUAGGACGAUAGUAUUCGGACACGAAAAGUGUUCCGGAGGGUAUCGGGUACACAUCGGGUCAUUGGAAGGGGUUCCGGGCAUCCCCGGCAAAAGAUAUGAGCCUAAUGGGCCAAGAGGGAAAACGGAGCAGCCAGUAGGGGCUGUUGCGCCCCCCAUAUGGGCCGCACUAGAGGAGAAGGAAAGAGGGGAAGAGAGAAGGAAGGGGAGGGAUUCGGCCUCCCCCUUCCUUCCCUCCUCCUUCCUCCUUCCUUUCCCCUCCGAAAACAUGGUAAGGGGGGCGAAUUGGACUAGGCCCCCAAGUAGGAUUCCUCCUACUUGGGGUGCCCCAAGGUUGUCCCCCUCCCCCUUCCCCUCCCACCUAUAUAUACGUGUGGAGGGGACGCCUAGAACACACAACAACAUCGGUUAGCCAUGUGCGGCGCCCCCUCCAUAGAUUACACCCUCGGUCAUAUUCUCGCGGUGCUUAGGCGAAGCCCUGCGCGGAUCACUUCACCAUCACCGUCACCACGUCGUCGUGCUGACGGAACUCAUCUAUUUCCUCGACACUUUGCUGAAUCAAGAGUUCAAGGGAUGUCAUUGAGCUGAACGUGUACAGAACUCGGAGGUGUCGUACGUUCGGUGCUUGAUCGGUCAGAAUGAGAAGAAGUUCGACUACAUCAACCGCGUUGUCAAACGAUUCCGCUUUCGGUCUACGAGGGUACGUAGACACACUCUCCCCCUCUCAUUGCUAUGCAUCUCCUAGAUAGAUCUUGCGUGAGCGUAGCAAAACUUUUGAAAUUGCAUACUACGUUUACCAACAAAUAUAACAACAUGGAACAAACAAAAAUUAUAGAUACAUUGGAGACGUAUCUGAAUACCAGCACUAACAUGGAAAAUUUUCAAAGAAGUAAGGUAGAAUGUGGACUUCACCUGCCUCCUCUUAAAGUGCAAACCAGUAAACUUAUCCAUCCAUAAUUAACUCAGGAAAUUGCCUAAAAUAUGGUUUUUAGAUUGUUGAAAAAUUAGGCAAGUUAAUGAGUAAUUCCAACAAAUAAUUCAUGACUAAAACAGGAAGUAGCAUGCAUGUAUCAAACAUCCUAGACAUACCAACAUGAACAUCAUCAUCGAACAUGCAACAUCAACCACAGUAAGACAUUGGAUCAGAUUAGGCGCACAUACUGACCGUUUGAAGGUGCCUCCGUUGCUGCUCGUACGAUGUUGACGAUGUUAGUGAUGACUUGAUGCAAAUGGCGUUGAAGACGAUGAUGAGUAGCGCCGCCUGACUUGGAAGGAAGACAUCCCAUGGUGAUAGACGAUGAGCAGUCGUGCAAAGCACUUGCCAAAAACCUUAUUCACCUUCACCUGGUGCAGGAUCACAAGAGCGAGAGAUUUCAGAGACCUGCUCUCCUGCUCGCCAUUGCACGCCGGCGUUCGGGAUGGAGUAGACUACAACAGCAACGCAAGUGGAGAGAGGAGACAAAACCCUAGCUCGAUUUUUGGUGUGUCCUUGGCCGUAGCCGGUAAGCGCUAUAUAUAGUAGGACAUAGUGGUCCGGGCGAUGUACUGCGAGCACACCAUCAAGAUGUUCAAAGACGGUCGUUUUGCAGGGGCUUCAAUAUUUUUCUUGCGAGACUCGGGGACUUCAAUAUAGUUGUCUUUUUAAUCUGUGUGUGUUGCUGGUUUGGUCAUUUAUUUUAUGGAAAAGUCAUAUAUUGUACUCCCUCUGUAAACAAAUAUAAGAAAUUAAUGAUCUAAACGCUCUUAUAUUUUUUUAUGAAGGGAGUAGUCAAUUAAAAAAUGAGUUAAAAGAUUAUAACUGAAAGCCCAAGCUCUGCGGAAUUCCCCAUUAAUGGAGUCGCAACAGGCAGACGGUACAUGUCAGGUACACCGACAGAGGCGACCACUGAUCUGGUAGAACGUCGCAUGCGCCGUCAGGUGCACGGCCGCGCUCCCCACCGGCACCGUGAGCGAAGGCUGAUCCCAGAUCUCGGGAGGCGACGUGCAGGUAGAGGGGUUCCGUCCAUGGGGCAAAAGCCAAGCGUUCAAUUCUGCGAUAUCAAACGCCGGCACACAGGAACUAGAGAGACUGGAUUAGACUCCACUGUGACACACCAACCAUUUCGAAAGGAAAAGAAAACUGCGACACACCAUGGACAGCGAACAGCUAGGUCGGCGUGUUCCGACACUCGUUUGCCUUAAACAAAUUACACCCCGGGCAGCCGCUGCGCGCGUACGCGGACCCAACCACUCGCCGAUGGACGACACCCGUUCUCACUUUUCAGCGAACCAGAAGCUCGUGACUCUCCACUUGGCUGCGGCAAAACACACCGGACGAAGCAAAGGAUCAACAGUUUAGAACAGGGGAGCAUAUGCAGGUUCGGUCAUCUUUUCGCAUCGCAAAGGAAGAUAGAUGCAUGUGGAGCAAAGUAGCGCACAAAAAGAAGAUGCAUGUGGAGCAAAGUGGUGCUACCGUGUCACCCAUAAGAAAUUUAGAAAAGGAAAAGGUUUUGAUAUAGAAGAAAUAAGGGUCUGUUUAGGAUAUGUCACAUCUAAGAUUGAUGUCCACUCUGUUUAUGGUCUAUUUUUUUGUCUUAGUUUUUUUUGUUUCUUGUUGCUACAUUAUAUAUUUAUGGGAGAUUAGAUGUGACAUCCUUAAAAAACAUUUAGAUGUGAAUUAGACAAACUGAAGAAAUAAUGGAGAGGCUGUGGGCAGGCAGGCAGGCAGGCGCACCGCACACAUGGGCGGAGGAGGCCGACAGAUCGCAACGUAGCGCCGGGAAGGGGAGCUGCGUGCUGUCCCAGGCUGGUAUCCCGUUGCCGUCGCCACGUUCCCUCGCUUUCACCCACCUAAGUGCCCAGCCACCACUCUACUUACCUCGCCCGGCACACGCAAACGCGCGCCUCCAUCGGCCUGCCACUCGCAGUCGCUUCCCUUUCCCACCACGUUGACACCUCUUCCGCUCCGGGAAGGAGGCAGGCACGUAGACGUAGCGAUGGCGCCGCGUUUCCUGGCGUGCUUCGGCAGGGGCGGCGCGACGGCCUCGGCGCCGGAGCCUGUGGAGGACCUGGCCCCGGGCCCGGUGCUGGUGGAGCUCUUCUCCUCGCAGGGGUGCGCGGCGUCGCCUGAGGCGGACGCCCUGGUGGCGCGGCUGGCGCAGGAGUCCUCCGAGACCGGCGGCGGCGAGCGAGCGAUGGUGGUGCUGGGGUUCCACGUGGACUACUGGGACUACCGCGGGUGGAAGGACCCCUUCGCGGCCAGCGCCUGGACCGUGCGGCAGAAGGCGUACGUGGAGGCGCUCCGGCUGGACACGCUCUUCACGCCGCAGGUCGUCGUGCAGGGCCGCGCGGACUGCGUCGGCACCGAGCAGGACAAGCUCGCCCAGGCCGUCCGCGACGCGCCCCGCUACCCCUCGCCCGCCAUGAAGGUACGCACGCACGCAUGCUGCAUGCACCCACCACCUUAAGAAUUGUUGACGGUGCUCUGAACCGUGUGCGUGCUCUGCAGGUGAAGUUCCAGCGGCCGAACCCGAGCACGCUGCAGGCGUCCUUCACGGGCGCGCUCCACUCCCGCGUGGACGGCGGCGGGAGCGUGCUGGUGGCGCUGUACGAGAGCGGCGUGGUCACCGACUGCGGCCGCGGCGAGAACAAGGGCAAGUCGCUGCUCAACGACCACGUGGUGCGCCGGCUGGAGAAGGUGGCCGCCGUGCGCGACGGCGCGUCCGCCAGGAAGGCCGUGUCCGGGUCCGUCCAGUUCCCGCUGUGGGACGACUUCCGCGCCACCAAGUGCGGCCUCGUCCUCUUCGUGCAGAACUCGGCGCUGCAGGUGCUCGGCGUCCAGCACUUCGACCUGCCCGACAACGUCUGAUCGAGUGGCGGGCACCAACUUGCGGAGAGCGCAGGGGCCAGACGACCAGGGGAGCGUUGCACAAGUAUUCUUUGUAGAGUUUGAUUUGAUUGGCGUGCUGCGUUGUUGUAAUAGCACUUUGUAAGAGCACUCGUGUGAUCGAUUACUGGAACAAUGGUUGUAUCUUCUUGAAUAGACCAAGAUAGUACAGUAGUCUAUGGAACAUGCACAAAUGCGAAUAACAGAGAAAUCGAAGUUACACUAAGGUGCCUCUGAGAACCUAAAAUCAUUAAAUGAACCCAAAUGAUAACGCCCACGCGGGUGUCAUAUUUGCACAUCGCAAUUGAAAGAAACCACCAUAUUUGGGGCUUCUGUUACAAAAAAUAACCUGAUCGCUAAUCUUUUGCAAAAGCCAUCGCGCAUUCAGUAAAAGUUUUGUAGAUUGCACUGAACCUGCCAUUUGGCGCGGUUGAGGGCGUUUACAACACGUGGGGCCCAAUUUGGGUGACGUGUCCUAACGGACGCGCGGACGGCGCCGUUUGGUCCAAACCGACGCGGUCUGGUCGCACCGGACAGACCGACCGCCCGCACCCGACCAGACCAGGCCUCUCCCUCCAGCUCCAAUCCAUGGCGACGACGAAACCUGGCGGCGUGGACGGCGGCGGCGGAGUUGCUGCCGGUGGGGAUGCUCCGGGCGGCGGUGCUGGAGAUCCACCAGAGUUCUGCGGGAGCUCCAAUCCCUCGAGCGCGCUGCCUCUUCCCCAACCGUCGUCGCCGCCGAAGUCGUUGGAAUACGCGGCGGCUACUGCGUUCGCCCAGACGGUGAAGGCCAAUCCGACGGGCAGCCAACAUUUUGCCUCCUCCUUCGGCGAUGUGGAGUAAGUCAUCCUCCUCCUUCUUUGUCAUUUCCCCGAUUGGCAUUCUAGGGUUAGGGUUCUAGGGUUAGUUAGUGUUCUUGGGUAAGUGUAGUACGGUUAAGGUUCUAGGGUUAGGGUUCUAGCAUUAGGGUUAGUGUUAUAUGAUAUCCUCUCUGUCACAUGAUUGGUGGUCUCACGGAAAUUAAUUUUAGCAUGAGUAAUUUGACAGAAAUCCUAUCUGUCUGUUGUUUGAUCAAAUAUUGGUCUUCACCAACUUUAGUAUUGUAAAUUGAAUUAGAAAUUUCUGUUGCCACCAAUUUUAACAUUGUUAACUGAUUUUUUUCAACUUAUUAAUAGGGCUAUGAACUGACCCAUUUAACACCAAUCUGACCUCUUAACAAUAAUUUUAACAUUGUUAAAUGAAUUAUUUCAUCUUAUUCUUAUACCUGUUAACUGACCUACUUAACAACAAAAUUAAAUGAAUUUUAUCUGAAUUUGUAGCUUGGAUGAUGAAGAAUGGGAAGUGAGGUUCCAUUUCCUAGACAGAGAUAACUUGGAAAGAACAAUAUGUUUAUCAAACAUAACCUUCUGGAAUCUCAUUGCCCUAAUAGAGGUAGAAGGCUAUAGUUCAAGGGAUUUAUGUAUUAUGUUAGAGAUCCAGGAGUUGGGGUGUCAGGAAUGGAAGAAUUAACUGAUGAUGACAAGGUGGAAGAAAUGUUGGAUCACAUAGCUAGUAAAGGAAAGAAUGUUGUUAGCAUUAUAGUUAUGAGAAGUGAUGCACCUAGACUAGUUGAUUUGAACAUUGGUUAUGCUUAUGAAGAGCAGGUUUCUUUGUUAGAAAUAGGUGUACCAGUUAUCUAUGAGGUAGACAAUUCAGGAGUUCUUUUCGCCAGUCCAGUGAAACCCCAACCACAGCCAGUCCAAGUAAUGAACACACAGGAGAGCACUUGUUUGUUGAAGCAAAAGGGCCCAAGUGAACCUGAGUUUGCUUUGGACAAUAGUAAUGAGAGGCAUGAGUAUUUCAUGCAGACAGACCAAGAGCAAGAGCACAUUGAGCAGAUGAUGGAGCAGAAAAGAAAUGAAGAAAUUCAGAGGUACGGGAGUAAUAAGAUACAAAGAGAGAAGUACAAUGCAGCAAAAAGAAAACUCCCACAGCUGCUUGCUGAGGAGUUCACUGAUAGUGAAAGUGAGGAUGAAGAUCUAGAAGAUGAGGACAUAUUGGCUAGGUUGGAGGCAAUGAAGAGGCAUAGGGAUGAUCCACUAUAUCACUUUGAAGGAGACACUGAUGUAGAAGAGCUAUAUGGACCAGAGGAGGAGGAGGAGGAGAAUGAAGGAAGAGUUGAAGAGGAAGGACAGGAGGAGCCACUAGAUGAGGGCUUGAGAGGAGGAAGCAGUGUAGGAGGAAGCAGUGCAGGAGGUAGCAAUGGCACAGGAGGAAGUAAGAGGAGGGUGAAGGGGCCAACAACAAGAUCCCAUGCAAGUUUGGAUCAAAUCAUAGAGCAAGACUGGGCACCUUCAUUUGAUGAGGAGAGCAACCCAGGUGACCUAAGUCAGGAAGAGAAUGAUUGGGCUCAGCUUCCACCAUUUAAGCUACCAAAUGGUAGGAAGAGCAUAGCCAAAAAGAAUAAAGUUAGGGUUUGGUAUGAUGAGAAGAGGGAAAACCCACAAGAACAAUUUGUCAAGAAACUUUGUUUCCUAGAUGUGCAACAGUUCAGAAGGGCACUGCUUACAUUUCACAUCUCACAAAACAGGAACUACUCAUUUCAUAGGAAUUGCUCAGAUAGAGUUAUCGUAGUUUGCAGUACAGAUGACUGUCCUUUUUUCAUUGCUGCUUCCAAAAUUGCACAUGAGAAGACAUUUUGCAUAAAGAAAAUGAACUUGUACCACAAUUGUCCUGCUGUUGGAGAGAGCACCAAAGUGACUGCUAGGUGGUUGGCACAUGAGUGUGAGCAACAGUUAAGGUCUGACAUAAACACACCUGUCCAGGCAAUAAUGGACAAUUCGAAGAAAAACAUGGAAUUGAAGUGUCCAUUCACAUGGCCUACAGGGCAAGGAAAGCAGCUAAGGAAGUUGUCCAGGGAGAUCAGAGGGCACAAUACACUAGGAUAAGGGAUUACCUCCAAGCUAUGCUGGAUACCAAUCCUGGAAGUAGAUGCAUUGUUACAACAAAGUAUUUGAAGACUCAUCCUAGUAUAAACCCUAGAUUUCAUGGCUUGUUCAUGUGCCUCAAUGCUUGCAAAGAGGGCUUCCUAAAUGGUUGCAGACCCUUCAUAGGUACUUGCAUAAUUAUUUUCCCAACAUCUUUCCCAUUGCAUUUAGUUAUGUUUGGUACUAAUGUGUUCUGUUUGGUUUUAGGUGUUGAUGGUUGCUUUGUUAAGUUGACAACAGGGCAACAAAUAUUGGCUGCAACUGGAAGAGAUGGUAAUAACAACAUCUUUCCCAUUGCAUUUGCAAUUGUUGACAAGGAAGACACUGCUAGCUGGUCCUGGUUUCUAACCCAGCUCAAGUAUGCUCUUGGUGGUGAGUCAGGGAAGUAUGGCAACUACACUAUCAUAUCUGAUAGACAAAAGGUACCUCACACAUCAUCAUUCUUAUAUUUACUGAAGUUUUACCAUGCUUAGUACUAUCAAAUUGUUUGUUGUUAUACUAUAUUUUGAACACUAGUUAUUUAAACAGGGCCUUCUUAAAGCCAUAAACAAUGUCUUCCCAAAUUUCCCUCAAAGAUACUGCCUUAGACAUAUUUAUCAGAACUUUCAAAUAGCUGGCUUUAGAGGUGAAGAGUUAAAGAAGUAUAUGGAUCAGGCUAGUUAUUCAUAUACUGAGCAUGGUUUUGAUCAAGCAAUGGAAGGCAUGAAAAGAGAGUGUGAGGCAGCUUGGAAAUGGCUUAGAAAGAUACCCAAGCAUACAUGGGCUAGACAUGCCAUGGACAAAAAUUGUAAAACUAAUUUGGUUGUUAACAAUAUUAGUGAAGUUUUCAACAAAAUGAUACUUGAUGUGAGAGGGAAACCAAUUAAAACCAUGGUUGAUGGCAUCAGAACUAAAUUGCUAGUUAAGUUCAAUGCAAACAGGACCAAGACUGAGACAGCCAAGUGGCAGAUAUGCCCAACAUAUGCUGAAAAGCUAGAAGAAGCAAAACACCAUGCUAGAUACUGUCAGUCCAUCAAAGCAUGACCUGAUCUAUACCAGGUUAGCAGUGGAGAAAGCACAUAUGCAGUAAAGCUGCAAGUGCACACAUGUGGGUGUAGCAAAUGGGACAUGACUGGUGUUCCUUGCAAGCAUGGUGUUUCUGCAAUUAACAAGGCAAAACUUCAUCCAGAAGAUUUUGUUAGUGAUUUCUUCAAGAAACCAAUGUACCAAGAAGCCUACAUUCCAAUUAUGUAUCCUGUGCCUGGGCCUGACCUAUGGCCAAAUACUGGGACCCCUGACAUAGAACCACCGGUUUUCAGAGACAAGCCAGGAAAGAAGCAGACUAAGAGGAGAAGGAAUCAGUUUGAGAAGCCAGCUCCCAAGGAUACAUUAAGGAUGGCAACAAUAACCUGCAGCAAUUGCAACUUGACAGGUCAUAGGUACACUAGCUACCACAAAAAUCUGAAGCCAGCCCUAGCCAUGAGAAGGAACCAACACCAGGUUAAAUCUUGUGUAUAUAUGUUGUCACUGCAUGUUAAAUCUUGUGUAUAUUUAAUACUAUGUUCUAAUCUAUCUAUAUGUUGUCACUGUAGGAAAACAGGAGAGUUGAUGCACCAAUGGCAGCUCCAUCUGCUCCACCAGCAGCAACGGGAAGAGCUCCUGCUGCAACCAGUGCAACACCAAGGACAUCUCCAGCUGCAACUAGGGCUGCAACUAGGGCUGCACCUAGGGCGGCUCCUUCUGCUCCUGCUCCAACAAGGCCAAGUUCAUCUUCUGCUGCUAUUGAUAGGCCUAGUUCAUCUUCUGCUACUGCUACUAGGUCAAGGGUAAAGAGAACAUUCAUACCACCAAGAGUGUCAGGUAAUGGAAGAGUGAGAAAGCCAUCAUACAAGAUGUCUAAAUGGUUCAAUUGUUCUCAAGGCAGCAAGAAGUGAUGUCAUGUUGAAAUAUGUUUAAUUCAGCCUGUUUUGGCUAGUUUGUGCUGAAGAAUAUUAAGAAUUUCAUGUUGAAACCAGUCAGUUCUAGUCCAAGUGGUGGACUAUGUAAUGUACCUAAUGGUUGUGAUGCACUAUGGUACUCUGGUUAUGAUGAUAUGAUGAUGAACUUAUUAGUUAUGAUGUUUUCAAGAAGUUUUCGUUCUCUUGUUGUGAUGAUGAUCAUAGUUCCAUAGUUGAUAGGAUGAUGAUCUUAGUUUUCAUGGUGUUGAUAUGUUGGUGAUCACAGUUUUCAUAGUUCAUAUGAUGUUGAUCAUAGUCGACAAAACCCUAAAUGGAUCCACUUGGGCAUUUAGGGUGCCUCGGCGUCGACAAAACCCUAAAUGGGUCCACUUUGGGCAUUUAGGGUGCCUCAGCAUCGACAAAACCCUAAAUGGUAGCACUUGGGAUUUUUUGGUGCCUCAACGUCAACAAAACCCUAAAUAGAUCCACUUGGGCAUUUAGGGUGCCUUGGCGUCGACAAAACCCUAAAUGGGUCCACUUUGGGCAUUUAGGGUGCCUCGGCGUCGACAAAACCCUAAAUCGAUCCACCUGGGCAUUUAGGGUGCCUCGGUGUCGACAAAGCCCUAAAUGGUAACACUUGGGCAUUUUUGGUGCCUCGGCGUCGACAAAACCCUAAAUGGAUCCACUUGGGCAUUUAAGGUGCCUCAGCAUCGACAAAACCCUAAAUGGGUCCACUUUGGGCAUUUAGGGUGCCUCGGUGUCGACAAAACCCUAAAUGGUAGCACUUGGGCAUUUUUGGUGCCUUGAUACGUCUCCAACGUAUCUAUAAUUUUUGAUUGCUCCAUGCUAUAUUACCUACUGUUUUGGACUAUAUUGGGCUUUAUUUUCCACUUUUACAUUAUUUUUGGGACUAACCUAUUAACCGGAGGCCCAGCCCAGAAUUGCUGUUUUUUUGCCUAUUUCAGUGUUUCGGAUAAACAGAAUAUCAAACGGAGUCCAAACGGAAUAAAAUCUUCGGAAACGUGAUUUUCUCACCGAACGUGAUCCAGGAGACUUGGACCCUACUACAAGGGAUCAAAGAGGUGGUCACGAGGGUGGGGGCGCCCCGCCCCCCUAGGGCGCGCUGCCUGCCUCGUGGGCCCCUCAGUGCUCCACCGACAUACUCCUUCCUCCUAUAUAUACACACGUACCCCCAAACAAUCAGAAUAGGAGUCAAAAACCUAAUUCCACCGCCACAACUUUCUGUAUCCAGGAGAUCCCAUCUUGGGGCCUGUUUCGGAGCUCCGCCGGAAGAGGGCCGUCAUCACGGAGGGCUUCUACAUCAUCCUAGCCCCUCCGAUGAAGUGUGAGUAGUUUACCUCAGACCUUCCGGUCCAUAGUUAGUAGCUAGAUGGCUUCUUCUCUCUCUUUGAAUCUCAAUACAAAGUUCUCCCCCUCUCUUGUGGAGAUCUAUUCGAUGUAAUCUUCUUUUUGCGGUGUGUUUGUUGAGACCGAUGAAUUGUGGGUUUAUGAUCAAGUCUAUCUAUGAAUAAUAUUUGAAUCUUCUCUAAAUUCUUUUAUGCAUGAUUGGUUAUCUUUGCAAGUCUCUUCGAAUUAUCCGUUUGGUUUGGCCAACUAGAUUGGUAGUUCUUGCCAUGGGAGAAGUGCUUAGCUUUGGGUUCGAUCUUGCGGUGUCCUUACCCAGUGACAGAAGGGGGAGCAAGGCACGUAUUGUAUCGUUGCCAUCGAGGAUAACAAGAUGGGGUUUAUUUCAUAUUGCAUGAAUUUAUCUCUCUACAUCAUGUCAUCUUGCUUAAGGCGUUACUCUGUUUUUAACUUAAUACUCUAGAUGCAUGCUGGAUAGCGGUCGAUGAGUGGAGUAAUAGUAGUAGAUGCAGAAUCGUUUUGAUCUACUUGUCACGGACGUGAUGCCUAUAUACAUGAUCAUGCCUAGAUAUUCUCAUAAUUAUGCACAAUUCUAUCAAUUUCUCAACAGUAAUUUGUUCACCCACCGUAGAAUAUUAUGCUCUUGAGAGAAGCCACUAGUGAAACCUAUGGCCCCCGGGUCUAUUCUCAUCAUAUCAAUCUCCAUCACUUUUAUAUUGUUUUUCUAUUUACUUUGCUUUUACUUUUUACUUUGCAUCCUUAUAUCAAAAAUACCAAAAAUAUUCUAUCUAUCACAUCUCACUCUCGUAAGUGAUUGUGAAGGGCUUGACAACCCCUAAUCGCGUUGGUUGCGAGUAGCUAUCGCUUUGUGCAGGUAUGAGGGACUUGAGCGUGGGCUCCUACUGGAUUGAUACCUUGGUUCUCAAAAACUAAGGGAAAUACUUACGCUACUCUGCUGCAUCAUCCCUUCCUCUUCGGGGAAAACCAACGCAAGCUCAAGACGUAGCAAGAAGGAUUUCUGGCGCCGUUGCCGACGAGUCUACGCAAAAAGUCAAUAUACCAAGUACCCAUCACAAUCCCUAUCUCUCGCAUUACAUUAUUUGCCAUUUGCCUCUCGUUUUCCUCUCCCCCCAAUUCACCCUUGCCGUUUUAUUCGCCCUCUCUCUCUCCCUAUCCUCCCUCUCUGUUUGCCUUUUUGUUUGCUUGUGUGUCAGUUUGUUUGCCUGCUUGUCGUUAUGUCUGAAACUGGGGAAGUUAUCGCCAAUUUGGGCGAUAACAAUAUCAUGGAAAAUUCUGAUACUCCUGCUAAAGAACCUACCAUCUUUCAUACAAAAAAAUUCCGUGUUGGUAGUGGUAAUAUUAUUGGAAAAGGAGUUAUUCAAGAUUUCUUUACUUGUGCUGGUGCUUUACCUUCUAUGCGUAGUUCUAUCCUUCACAGAACUAGUAGUCUUGCGGACUCUAUUGCCAUGCUUGUAGUUGAACUUGAAAGACAAUUCAUGCACAUGCAUCCUUCUAUACAAAGGAUUUUUCUGGAAUUUUCUAAUAUUGAGCAUUCUUCUGUUAAGCUUGCCGCUACUAUCUUUUUGGCUCAUGAGUUUAGAUUCAUAAUAAGAAAAGCCAAAGAAAUAUUUACGCAUUAUAGGGUGGACGCUUGCCGUCCUCCCAUAGAGGCUAUCCUCUUUGAUCAAGAAGAAAUAAUGCGUUUUCAAUCCCUAGAUUAUGUUGCUUUCAAUGAAAAUCUUAGAAGAAAGGUUCCUACCAAUGUUUUAGUUGAUAGAAUUUCUGAUCUUAAUGAUGAUUUGGCUAUUUGAAAUAAUGAACUAGGAUAUUCUCUUGAAUAUAGGCUCACAAAGUUCUGUCAAAAAAAUGCUUAUAAUGAUGAAUUGGUGGUGCAUUAUUAAGGACCAAAGGAGGAACCUAUACCUCCCAAGGUUGAUCUUCGGGACUUUUGUCCCAUUAAAUUUAAUCCUUUUGAUUACUUUUGCUUGCCUCAAAGAAAACUUGCUGCCGAACAUAGAGAAUAUGAAAUGAGUUUCACCAAUCUAUCUUAUUACUAUGGCAAUACCUAGAUCUAUUCUUGCUCGUUAUGCCUAGCUAGGGGCGUUAAACGAUAGCGCUUGUUGGGAGGCAACCCAAUUUUAUUUUUAUUCCUUGAUUUUUGCUCCUGUUUAGUAAUAAAUAAAUUAUUUAGCCUCUGUUUUGGUUGUGUUUUUUGUGUUUAAUUAGUGUUUGUGCCAAGUAGAACCGUUGGGAAGACUUGGGGAAAGUCUUGUUGAACUUGCUGUAAAAAACAGAAACUUUAGCGCUCACGAGAACUGCUGUAAUUUUUAUUUGAAGAGUGUUACUUAGUUAAUUCUUUUUGGGAUGAUUAAUAGAUAAAUUCCUCACGUCCAGAAAUUUAUUUUAGAAUUUUUGGGAUUCCAGAUCUUGCGCUAGCUACAGAUUACUACAGACUGUUCUGUUUUUGACAGAUUCUGUUUUUCGUGUGUUGUUUGCUUAUUUUGAUGAAUCUAUGGCUAGUAAAAUAGUUUAUAAUCCAUAGAGAAGUUGGAAUACAGUAUGUUUAACACCAAUAUAAAUAAAGAAUGAGUUCAUUACAGUACCUUGAAGUGGUCUUUUGUUUUCUUUCGCUAACGGAGCUCACGAGUUUUCUAUUUUGAGUUUUGUGUUGUGAAGUUUUCAAGCUUUGGGUAAGAAUUUGAUGGAUUAUGGAACAAGGAGUGGCAAGAGCCUAAGCUUGGAGAUGCCCAUGGAACCCCCAAGAUAAUCCAAGGACACCAAAAAGUCAAAACUUGGGGAUGCCCCGAAAGGCAUCCCCUCUUUCGUCCACUUCCAUAGGUAAUUUACUUGGAGCUAUAUUUUUAUUCACCAACAUGAUAUGAGUUUUGCUUGGAGCGUCUUGUAUUAUUUGUGUCAUUGUUUGUUAGUAUGCGACAAUCAUCCUUGCUGUACACACCUUUUAAGAGAGCCAUACAUGAAUUAAAAUUUGAUAGAAUACUCUAUGUGCUUCACUUAUAUCUUUUGAGCUAGAUAAUUUUGCUCUAUGUGCUUCACUUAUAUCCUUUGAGCUAGAUAAUUUUUCUCUAUGUGCUUCACUUAUAUCCUUUGAGCUAGAUAAUUUUGCUCUAUGUGCUUCACUUAUAUCCUUUUGAGCAUUAUAAUUUUGCUCUAUGUGCUUCACUUAGAUCUUUUAGAGCACGGUGGUGGAUUCAUUUUGAAGAAACUAUUGAUCUCUCAUGCUUCACUUAAAUUAAUUUGAGAGUCUCUUAUUAGCAUGGUAAUUUGCCUAAUAAUAAUAUGCUUGGUAUUCAAGAUUUGUGAAACUUUAUUUUGAGUGUGUUGAAUACUAAGAAAAGAUUGAAGCAUGAUAAUUGUUUUGAGAUAUGGAGGUGAUAAUAUUAAAGUCAUGCUAGUUGAGUAGUUGUGAAUUUAAAGAAUACUUGUGUUGAAGUUUGUGAUUCCCGUAGCAUGCACGUAUGGUGAACCGUUAUGUGAUGAAUUCGGAGCAUGAUUUAUUUAUUGAUUGUCUUCCUUAUGAGUGGCGGUCGGGGAUGAGCGAUGGUCUUUUCCUACCAAUCUAUCCCCCUAGGAGCAUGCGCGUAAUACUUUGCUUUGAUAACUUCUAAAUUUGUGCAAUAAGUAUAUGAAUUCAUUAUGACUAAUGUUGAGUCCAUGGAUUAUACGCACUCUCACCCUUCCACCCUUGCUAGCCUCUCUAAUACCGCACACCUUUCGCCGAUAUCAUACACCUACCAUAUACCUUCCUCAAAACAGCCACCAUACCUACCUAUUAUGGCAUUUCCAUAGCCAUUCCGAGAUAUAUUGCCAUGCAACUUUCCACCAUCUAGUUCAUCAUGACACAUCCAUCAUUGUCAUAUUGCUUAGCAUGAUCAUGUAGUUGACAUAGUAUUUGUGGCAAAGCCACUGUUCAUAAUUCUUUCAUACUUGUCACUCUUGAUUCAUUGCAUAUCCCGGUACACCACCGGAGGCAUUCAUAUAGAGUCAUACUUUGUUUUAGUAUCGAGUUGUAAUCAUUGAGUUGUAAAUAAAUAGAAGUGUGAUGAUCAUCAUUCAAUAGAGCAUUGUCCCAAAAAAAGGCCAAAGAAAAAAGGCCCAAAAAAAUACAAAUAAAUAAAAAAGGGCAAUGCUACUAUCUUUUUUUCCACACUUGUGCUUCAAAGUAGCACCAUGAUAUAGCAAGUCUUAUAUAUUGUGCUUCAAAGUAGCACCAUGUUCUUCAUAUAGAGAGUCUCGUAUGUUGUCACUUUCAUAUACUAGUGGGAAUUUUACGUUAUAGAACUUGGCUUGUAUAUUCCAAUGAUGGGCUUCCUCAAAUUACCCUAGGUCUUCGUGAGCAAGCAAGUUGGAUGCACACCCACUAGUUUCUUUUCUUGAGUUGUCAUACAUUUAUAGCUCUAGUGCAUCCGUUGCAUGGCAAUCCCUACUCACUCACAUUGAUAUCUAUUGAUGGGCAUCUCCAUAGCCCGUUGAUACGCCUAGUUGAUGUGAGACUAUCUUCUCCUUUUUGUCUUCUCCACAACCACCAUUCUAUUCCACCUAUAGUGCUAUAUCCAUGGCUCACGCUCAUGUAUUGCGUGAAGAUUGAAAAAGUUUUGAAAAAGUUAGAGUAUGAAACAAUUGAUUGGCUUGUCAUCGGGGUUGUGCAUGAUUUAAAUCCUUUGUGUGGGGAAGAUGGAGCAUAGCCAGAUUAUAUGAUUUUGUAGGGAUAACUUUCUUUGGCCAUGUCAUUUUGAGAAGACAUAAUUGCUUUGUUAGUAUGCUUGAAGUAUUAUUAUUUUCUAUGUCAAUAUAAACUUUUGUCUUGAAUCUUUCUAAUCUAAAUAUUCAUACCACAAUUAAGAAGAUUUGCAUUGAAAUUAUGCCAAGUAGCACUCCGCAUCAAAAAUUCUCUUUUUAUUAUUUACCUACUCGAGGACGAGCAAGAAUUAAGCUUGGGGAUGUCUGAUACGUCUCCAAUGUAUCUAUAAUUUUGUAUUGCUCCAUGCUAUAUUACCUACUGUUUUGGACUAUAUUGGGCUUUAUUUUCCACUUUUAUAUUAUUUUUAGGACUAACCUAUUAACUGGAGGCCCAGCCCAGAAUUGCUGUUUUUUGCCUAUUUCAGUGUUUCGGAUAAACAGAAUAUCAAACGGAGUCCAAACGGAAUAAAAUCUUCGGAAACAUGAUUUUCUCACCGAACGUGAUCCAGGAGACUUGGACCCUACUGCAAGGGAUCAAAGAGGUGGUCACGAGGGUGGGGGGCGCCCCCCACCCUAGGGCGCGCCCCCUGCCUCGUGGGCCCCUUGGUGCUCCACCGACGUACUCCUUCCUCCUAUAUGUACACACGUACCCCCAAACGAUCAGAACAGGAGCCAAAAACCUAAUUCCACCGCUGCAACUUUCUGUAUCCAGGAGAUCCCAUCUUGGGGCCUGUUCCGGAGCUCCGUCGAAAGAGGGCCGUCAUCACGGAGGUCUUCUACAUCAUUCUAGCCCCUCUGAUGAAGUGUGAGUAGUUUACCUCAGACCUUCGGGUCCAUAGUUAGUAGCUAGAUGGCUUCUUCUCUCUCUUUGAAUCUCAAUACAAAGUUCUCCCCCUCUCUUGUGGAGAUCUAUUCGAUGUAAUCUUCUUUUUGCGGUGUGUUUGUUGAGACCGAUGAAUUGUGGGUUUAUGAUCAAGUCUAUCUAUGAAUAAUAUUUGAAUCUUCUCUAAAUUCUUUUAUGCAUGAUUGGUUAUCUUUGCAAGUCUCUUCGAAUUAUCCGUUUGGUUUGGCCAACUAGAUUGGUAGUUCUUGCCAUGGGAGAAGUGCUUAGCUUUGGGUUCGAUCUUGCGGUGUCCUUACCCAGUGACAGAAGGGGGAGCAAGGCACGUAUUGUAUCGUUGCCAUCGAGGAUAACAAGAUGGGGUUUAUUUCAUAUUCCAUGAAUUUAUCUCUCUACAUCAUGUCAUCUUGCUUAAGGCGUUACUCUGUUUUUAACUUAAUACUCUAGAUGCAUGCUGGAUAGCGGUCGAUGAGUGGAGUAAUAGUAGUAGAUGCAGAAUUGUUUCAAUCUACUUGUCACGGACGUGAUGCCUAUAUACAUGAUCAUGCCUAGAUAUUCUCAUAAUUAUGCACAAUUCUAUCAAUUGCUCAACAGUAAUUUGUUCACCCAUGUAGAAUACUUAUGCUCUUGAGAGAAGCCACUAGUGAAACCUAUGGCCCCCGGGUCUAUUCUCAUCAUAUCAAUCUCCAUCACUUUUAUAUUGUUUUGCUAUUUACUUUGCUUUUACUUUUUACUUUGCAUCCUUAUAUCAAAAAUACCAAAAAUAUUCUAUCUAUCAGAUCUGACUCUCGUAAGUGACCGUGAAGGGCUUGACAACCCCUAAUCACGUUGGUUGCGAGUAGCUAUCGCUUUGUGCAGGUACGAGGGACUUGAGCGUGGGCUCCUACUGGAUUGAUACCUUGGUUCUCAAAAACUGAGGGAAAUACUUACGCUACUCUGCUGCAUCAUCCCUUCCUCUUCGGGGAAAACCAACGCAAGCUCAAGACGUAGCAUGCCUCGGUAUCGACAAAACCCUAAAUGGAUCCACUUGGGCAUUUAGGGUGCCUCAGCAUCGACAAAACCCUAAAUGGGUCCACUUUGGGCAUUUAGGGUGCCUCGGCGUUGACAAAACCCUAAAUCGAUCCACUUGGGCAUUUAGGGUGCCUCGGCGUCGACAAAACCCUAAAUGGGUCCACUUUGGGCAUAUAUGGUGCCUCGGCGUCGACAAAACCCUAAAUCGAUCCACUUGGGCAUUUAGGGUGACUCGGCGUCGACAAAACCCUAAAUGGUAGCACUUGGACAUUUUAGAAAACCAAAAAAAUAUUCAAAUCGAGCAAAUGUUGAACCAAAAAAAAUUAGAAGUUACUGACCUAUUAAUUUUAGAAAACCAAAAAAAAUGCACAAAAAAUUUAGAAGUUACUGACAUAUUAAUUUUAGAAAACCAAAAAAAUGCAAAAAAAUAGUCUAGCCUGGGGCUCGAACCCAGGACCAGUGGGUAGUAACCAUGCGUUCAAUACCAAUGGGAUAGUGCUAGUGAUCUUGUUUGAGUAGCAUCCGUAAUUAUACUUAUAUUUAGUUAGGCACGCACUGUGUUGAUAGUGCGUUGAGGCCGUCAGCGUGGUGGACGUGCAUUUAGUAUAACUCAUCAUUUCGGUUUCUGAGCCUUUAAUACGUGUCCACCCACCACUCUCUCUGAUCACUCGCCCACUCGCCGCCCGCACCGCCCACUCCUCUUCCCCCUCUCUCCUAUCGAAACCACCGCCAACAACCACCGCAGUUGGACAUCGAAGAGCUCGCCGGCAACAACAAGGAGCUGCGCACGCAGUACAGGGAGAUCGCGUGAUGGUUCCCCAGUCCGGCGAUGCUGAGGAACCAUGCACGCGGCCUGGUGAAGGUAAUGACACCUGCCGAAAGGCAGCGUGCCUUCCCUGCUGGUCGCACUAUCCCGCUGGCGACCAUUCUCCUGUGGGCGAUGCGCGAGGUGCAGUGCUCCCCCGACCCCAGGCAGCAUGCACGUUGGUGGAUGUACUACUCAUCCACCACGCCGUCGGCCGCCGCGGAUGACAUCACCGACGUCGUCCUCGCUCCCCCAGCCCCCAUCAACUACACCUACUGGGAGAGGCGCAAUCCAUGGGUCCUCGGGCCAGACGACGACUCUGACGCCGAGUCCUCUGACGACUACGACGCUGACGCGUCUGACUACUACUCCUCUGACGACGAUGUGGAUGAGGUCUUCGUACUCUCCUCCGACUCCUCCAAUGAUGAGCCUGAUGUGUAGCUCCUGGCACCCGUCCUCGACGCCAUGGAGGGGCAAAAGAACAGCCCAAUUGAAGUGGAUAAGCUGCCGGAGGUCGCUAACAACCCAGAGCUCGUCGUCGUGAAUCAAGAAGAGGAGGGCGGCGGUGAAGAUGUGGUGGAGCUAGUGCCGACCAAGAAGAAGAGGGCGGCGGUGAACAACAAUGACGUGCGACGCUCCCAACGCCUGAAGAUGCUGAAGAAGGAGGAGUGACAUGUUGUCUUCAGUUUUGUCAGUAGAAGAAAAAGUUCAGUUUCGUCAAUAUGUUAGUAUGCCUGUUCUAUCUAUGUCAGUUCUAUCUAUGUCAGACUAUCUAUGCAGGUAAUAUCUAUGUAUGCCAGCAGUAUGAACUUGCUAUCUAUGUUCACUAUCUACUUGCUAUGUACUUGCUAUCUAUGUUAAGUUCUGCUUGCUAUGUACUUGCUAUCUAUGUUCAGUUAUGCGUGUUAUCUACUUGCUGUCAGUGUUAUCAUUUCCAAGUAUGUCACUGCUGUCAUCACAAACUAAACUUAAUUAAACUUGAUAAUUGAAACUGAUAAUUCAUGACAAACAACAUACAAUCCAAGGUUCAUUGCUACAGAAAUAGUAGAGUUCACCACAAUAAAGCUUAACACAUUACAAACUUUCCUCCAUAGCUACUACAAAAGACAUCAUUGACACACAUGGUCAGGCAACAACACAACUUAGUCCUCAUCACAAAUAGCCUUAAUCUGGUUAAGCUUCCUCUUGUUGCUAUCACCUAUUGUCUUGAGAUCAACAAUGCAGGAAGCAAGAGUACUCUUCUCCAUGGUCAACUUCUCAUUUAGUUUCAUCAGCUCAGCAAUGCAACAAUCCAGCUUAUCCUUCUCUUUCUUCAGGUCAGCAUAGCAAAUAUCCAAAGUCCUCUUAUCAGAGAUCAACUUUUCCUUCUCUUUAAGAUGGUUGAACUUCAAAUUCCUAAUGACAGUGGCUUGAGCUACAUGAAUUUGCUUUAACUGGUCAACAACAACCUUCAAUUUUUUGAUCUCAGCAUCCUUUGUCAUGCUGCUUUCCACAAUCACUGAAAUGUUCUCAGCAUCAUUCUUCUGGUUUACCUCAGGCUGGCUAUCCUUAUAAUCCAAGAGGUUGUUCACAUCUUCAACAAGCUUCUCAUAUGUCUCCUGCAACUCUUUUUUUUGCUGUGUCAGAUUGUGUACAGUGCAUGAAUGCUCCAGGCAUGCCAUCCUGUUAUUAUGCUGGCUAUCCUCAUACAUAAGCCACAGCUUAUGAAUAGCCUUCUACAGAUGCUCUGGCCAAUGCUCAUCUACCCACUACACUAAUCCACAAUUUGCAACACCCUACAACAGAAAAAGUCAGUUCAAAAUUACAGACAUUACUUACAAAUUCAGUUAAAUAGCUAAUUCAGAAUCAGAUUCAUUUAAUGAUGACUAAUUAUGAAAACUACAACUAAGAACAGUACCUAUGAACCCUAGAACUAAAUUCAGUAACUAUGAACCAUACAACUAAAUUCAGUAACUGUGAACCCUAUAACAUGAACAGUAACUAUGAACCCUAGAACAUGAACAGUAACUAUGAACCCUAGAACAUGAAUAGUACCUACAAACCCUAGAACAAGAAUUGGAAUGCUGCAAAGACACAACUUGAAACUUACUUCAGUGGCACAGGCAAUGAACCUCCUCACAGUGCUUAUCCCCUCAAAUGCAACAUAUUUCCUCCCUGGAUUCCCAUGCUCACAAAUCACAUUCAAGUCGUCAGUAAGACCCUCAAACGACGGCUCAUCAAUUGUAGCUGGGAUCUGAGAAAUCAAACAAAAACUUGUUCAAAUCGAGCAAAUGUUGAACCCUAGAAACCAUAUAACACAAAUGAGCAAUAGAAGGUUCUGACCUUGACAGGGGAGUCGUCGGAGGAGAUGUACUGCGCGGCGGAGCCCUUAGUGCUCUCGCUGUCGCUCCAGGACACCAUGGAGGCCGGCGGCCGGCGGCGACUGAAGAGGAGAGGAGCAAGAGGGAGGGGAGCGAGCAAGCGUGAGAGCAGAGAGAGCGAGCUAGAUGUGGUCGGGCAUGGGCGGUCUGUCUCUCGCGACCCGACCGCGUCGGUCUUAAGGUAACGGCAUCGUCCGCGCGUCCGUUUGGACACGUCACCCAAAUUGGGCCCUACCUGUCGGAAACACCCUCAACCGCGCCAAAUGGCAGGUUCAGUGCAAUCUGCAAAACUUUUACUGAAUGUGCGGUGGCUUUUGCAAAAGAUUAGCGACCGGGUUGUUUUCUGUAAGAGAAGCCCCAAAUGUGGUGGUUUCUUGCAAUUCACUCCGCACACGCCUUAAUCCACGUUAAUUCUGUUUUGCACGAAUCCUAAAGAAAUCUGUUAAAAUCUUAGUGCCAUGUGGGCAUCAUCGUGUGUGUGGGCGUGGAGAGUUCGCCCACAUGCCCUGCAGCACACGGCUUGCCAGCUGCGCUGUGUGGGCGAAAUAGUUUAUGCCCACACAAUCACCACGUAGUCCACACGCGUGUGAGCGAACUGCUUUUUGCCCACACGACGCUCGUACGUUGUUGGAUGGCAACUACAAUUGUGCGUACGUGGCAACUAGGUAAACACACAUGGCAACUAUGAUUUGUUGUUAGACGGCAACUGCAGUUGCACGUACAUGCCAACCAGAUAAACACACAUGACAACUGUGAUUAACCAUACAUGUCAACUAUGGUUGGAAAACACGUGACAACUAGGUAAACACACAUGGCAACUACUGCUUGACCAUAUGUGGCAAGUAGUUAAUCACACACGACAAUUAUGAUUUGAUUACAUGCGACAACUACCAUAAAUUAGACAUGGCAACUAUAGUUAACCAAAACAGAGAGAGUUGACAUGCUUUUACAGCUACAUUUUCCAUCCCGGAUAACUACAUCUGUCGUCCCGAAUGACAACUAAAUCGUCAUCCCGCAGGUACCUAACGUAGCUGCACCAGGACGUGUGGGCAUAUUUGCUUCGUGCCACGCGCGCGGGGUGGGGAUGUGUAGUACUUAUUGGACGUGUGGCAUGAAGUAACUGCGCCCACACGUGUGAGCAAUUCUAAUAUUUGCCCACACAUAACCCAUGUGGGCUGCCUUCUGCCACGCCACACAUGGUGUGUGGGCAAAUGUCUAAUAUGCCACACGUAUGGGCGUUAUCAGAACCCUAAAUGUAACAACACAAAAGGAAGAGUAGAAAGACCCACAAAUAUAAAUACACUACUUCUAUGGUGUAAGACGUGAUAAUCAUGUCAAAACGGGACACGACCAACCAAUUUUGGGGUAUAAUUAUUCCCAAUCUUCAUUAAGUCCACAAGUCCUAAGUGGCAUCUACAUGGAAAAAUAUAGUUGAUACAAGUUUAAAAGGUUCUAGCAAUAAGUCAAAGAGAGAUGCAAAAACUAAAGACAAAUAGUCCAAAGCCAAAGGAAGAACGCCCAAGAGGAAGAGGGUUGAGUGGGCUACUAAAUCAUGUAUAAUGCUUUACUCCCUAUUCCUAGUCUAUCAUGGAAAAAUAACCAAAAUUUACUUCAAAAAAGCUACCAUAACCAACAACACUCUUUAUCAUUUGUCAAUGGAGCUCUUGCCUAUUUACCCCCCUAGGAGAGCCGUCAUUCUAUCCUUAAGUAAAUACAAAAAGGGGAAAAGAAGUAUAGAGAUCUUCGCGAAGUCUCGCACCCCUAGAGUCGUGAAUGGAUAUGGAUAUCGUACUUUACAAACAUUAGCUUCUCUAGCUUUAUCAAUUGGCCUUCAUAUAAAGCCAUAGUACGCGACCCAUUAACAUUAUAUGUCACAAACACUAAUCAAAGAGACCCACUCACCUAGCUUCUUUUAGUGUUUGCUUAACCGAUUAUCUUUAGUUUUAUAGUUAUCUUCCGUGAUUGACUGUAAAAUAAACAUUGAGCAGAACAGUUCAAAAAUCACAUAUUGAGGCUACAAUAACAAUGAAAGUUUUACUAUGCUUCUCCACCAGGUUGUCCUAGCUAAACACACACACACAAAAUUUCCUUAGCCAGUAGUAAAAAUGUACUAGUAAUGUGGUUCAUGGGUUGUUUCUAGAGUGGAUGAUGUGGGUGUCUCUCGGUGGCUACUGGACUUGUUGCUCUACGUCGUAUUAACCUGGGAGCAGCUUUGGGGCGUUGUCUUCCCAAAGGUGUCAUGGUUUUUUAGCCUGCUAGACUAGAAAUAGAGCCGUGAGAGGCCACUUUCUCAGUGUUCUUCAUCCAACACGAAAUACGUUCUGUUGGGGAACAUAGUAAUUUCAAAAAAAAACUACGCACACGCAGGAUCAUGGUGAUGCACAGCAACGAGAGGGGAGAGUGUCGUCCACGUACCCUCGUAGACUGUUAAGCGGAAGCGUUAUGACAACGCGGUUGAUGUAGUCGUACGUCUUCACGAUCGACCGAUCCUCAGCACCGAACGUACGGCACCUCCGCGUUCAGCACACGUUCAGCUCGGUGACAUCCCGCAAACUCACGAUCCAGUAGAGCUCAGGGAAGAGUUUCGUUAGCACGACGGCGUGGUGACGAUGUUGAUGAAGCUACCACAGCAGGGCUUCACCUAAACACCGCUACAAUAUGACCGAGGUGGAUUAUGGUGGAGGGGGGGCACCGCACACGACUGGAGAGAUCUCAAUGAUCAACUUGUGUGUCUAGAGGUGCCCCCUGCCCCCGUAUAUAAAGGAGCAAGGGGGAGAGGCGGCCGGCCAGGAGGAGGCGCGCCAGGAGGAGUCCUACUCCCACCGGGAGUAAGACUCCCUCCUUUCCUAGUUGGAAUAGGAGAAGGGGGGAGGAGGGGGGAGAGAGGAAGGAAAGGGGGGGUGCCCCCCUCCUUGUCCAAUUCAGACUAGAGGAAGAGGGGGGGGGCGGCCUGCCUUGGCAGCCCCUCCUCUCUUCCACUAAGGCCCAUCAUGGCCCAUUAAACCCCCCAGGGGGUUCCGGUAACCCCCGGUACUCCCGUAAAAUCCCGAUUUCACCCAGAACACUUCCGAUAUCCAAAUAUAGGCUUCCAAUAUAUAAAUCUUUAUGUCUCAACCAUUUCGAGAAUCCUCAUCAUGUCUGUGAUCAAAUCCGGGACUCCGAACUACCUUCGGUACAUCAAAACAUAUAAACUCAUAAAACUGAUCGUCACAGAACUUUAAGCGUGUGGACCCUACGGGUUCGAGAACUAUGUGGACAUGACCGAGACACGUGUCCGGUCAAUAACCAAUAGCGGAACCUGGAUGCUCAUAUUGGUUCCUACAUAUUCUACGAAGAUCUUUAUCGGUCAAACCGCACAACACUAUACGUUGUUCUAUUUGUCAUCAAUAUGUUACUUGCCCGAGAUUCGAUCGUCGGUAUCCAAUACCUAGUUCAAUCUCGUUAUCGGCAAGUCUCUUUACUCAUUCUGUAAUACAUCAUCUUGUAACUAACUCAUUAGUUAUCAUGCUUGCAAGGCUUAUCGUGAUGUGUAUUACCGAGAGGGCCCAGAGAUACCUCUCCGACAAUCGGAGUGACAAAUCCUAAUCUUGAUCUAUGCCAACUCAACAAGUACCAUCGGAAACACCUGUGGAGCACCUUUAUGAUCACCCAGUUACGUUGUGACGUUUGGUAGCACACAAAGUGUUCCUGCGGUAUUCGGGAGUUGCAUAAUCUCAUAGUCAUAAGAACAUGUAUAAGUCAUGAAGAAAGCAAUAGCAGUAAACAAACGAUCAAGUGCUAAGCUAACGGAAUGGGUCAAUUCAAUCACAUCAUUCUCCUAAUGAUGUGAUCACAUUGAUCAAAUAACAACUCAUGUCAAUGGUUAGGAAACUUAACCAUCUUUGAUCAAUGAGCUAGUCAAGUAGAGGCAUACUAGUGACACUAUGUUUGUCUAUGUAUUCACACAUGUAUUAUGUUUCCGGUUAAUACAAUUCUAGCAUGAAUAAUAAACAUUUAUCAUGAAAUAAGGAAAUAAAUAAUAACUUUAUUAUUGCCUCUAGGGAACAUUUCCUUCAGUCUCCCACUUGCACUAGAGUCAAUAAUCUAGAUUACACAGUAAUGAUUUUAACACCCGUGGAGCCUUGGUGUUGAUCAUGUUUUGCUCGUGGAAGAGGCUUAGUAAACGGCUCUGCAACAUUCAGAUCCGUAUGUAUCUUGCAAAUCUCUAUGUCUCCUACCUGGACUUGAUCCCGGAUGGAGUUGAAGCGUCUCUUGAUGUGCUUGGUUCUCUUGUGAAAUCUGGAUUCCUUUGCCAAGGCAAUUGCACCAGUAUUGUCACAAAAUAUUUUCAUUGGACCCGAUGCACUAGGUAUGACACCUAGAUCGGAUAUGAACUCCUUCAUCCAGACUCCUUCAUUCGCUGCUUCCGAAGUAGCAAUGUACUCCGCUUCACAUGUAGAUCCCGCCACGACGCUCUGUUUGGAACUGCUCCAACUAACAGCUCCACCGUUUAAUAUAAACACGUAUCUGGUUUGCGAUUUAGAAUCGUCCGGAUUAGUGUCAAAGCUUGCAUCAACGUAACAAUUUACGAUGAGCUCUUUGUCACCUCCAUAAACGAGAAACAUAUCAUUGGUCCCUUUCAGGUACUUCAGGAUGUUCUUGACCGCUGUCCAGUGAUCCACUCCUGGAUUACUUUGGUACCUCCCUGCUAGGCUAAUAGCAAGGCACACAUCAGGUCUGGUACACAGCAUUGCAUACAUGAUAGGGCCUAUGGCUGAAGCAUAGGGAACACUUUUCAUUUUCUCUCUAUCUUCUGCAGUGGUCGGACAUUGAGUCUUACUCAACUUCACACCUUGUAACACGGGCAAGAACCCUUUCUUAGCUUGAUCCAUUUUGAACUUCUUCAAAACUUUAUCAAGGUAUGUGCUUUGUGAAAGUCCAAUUAAGCGUCUUGAUCUAUCUCUAUAUAUCUUGAUGCCCAAUAUAUAAGCAGCUUCACCGAGGUCUUUCAUUGAAAAACUCUUAUUCAAGUAUCCUUUUAUGUUAUCCAGAAAUUCUAUAUCAUUUCCAAUCAGCAAUAUGUCAUCCACAUAUAAUAUUAGAAAUGCUACAAAGCUCCCACUCACUUUCUUGUAAAUACAGGCUUCUCCAAAAGUUUGUAUAAAACCAUAUGCUUUGAUCACACUAUCAAAACGUUUAUUCCAACUCCGAGAGGCUUGCACCAGUCCAUAAAUGGAUCACUGGAGCUUGCACACUUUGUUAGCUCCCUUUGGAUCAAUAAAACCUUCAGGUUGCAUCAUAUACAACUCUUCUUCCAUAAAUCCAUUCAGAAAUGCAGUCUUUACAUCCAUUUGCCAAAUUUCAUAAUCAUAAAACACGGCAAUUGCCUACAUGAUUCAGAUGGACUUAAGCAUCGCUACAGGUGAGAAGGUCUCAUCAUAGUCAACUCCUUGAACUUGUCAAAAACCUUUUGCAACAAGUCGAGCUUUGUAGAUAGUAACAUUACCAUCAACAUCUGUCUUCUUCUUGAAGAUCAAAUUAUUCUCGAUGGCUUGCCAAUCAUUGGCAUGUCAACCAAAGUCUACACUUUGUUCUCAUACAUGGAUCCCAUCUCAGAUUUCAUGGCUUCAAGCCAUUUUGCGGAAUCUGGGCUCAUCAUCGCUUCCUCAUAGUUCGUACGUUCGUCAUGGUCAAGUAACAUGACCUCCAGAACUGGAUUACCGUACCACUCUGGUGCGGAUCUUGCUCUAGUUGACCUACGAGGUUUGGUAGAAACUUGAUCUGAAGUUACAUGAUCAGCAUCAUUAGCUUCCUCACUAAUUGGUGUAGGAGUCACAGAAACAGAUUUCUGUGAUGAACUACUUUCCAAUAAGGGAGCAGGUACAGUUACCUCAUCAAGUUCUACUUUCCUCCCACUCACUUCUUUCGAGAGAAACUCCUUUUCUAGAAAGGAUCCAUUCUUAGCAACGAAUAUCUUGCCUUCGGAUCUAUGAUAGAAGGUGUACCCAAUAGUUUCCUUUGGGUAUCCUAUGAAGACACAUUUCUCCGAUUUGGGUUCGAGCUUAUCAGGUUGAAGCUUUUUCACAUAAGCAUCGCAGCCCCAAACUUUAAGAAACGACAACUUUGGUUUCUUGCCAAACCAUAGUUCAUAAGGCGUCGUCUCAACGGAUUUUGAUGGUGCCCUAUUUAACGUGAAUGCAGCCGUCUCUAAAGCAUAACCCCAAAAUGAUAGCGGUAAAUCAGUAAGAGACAUCAUAGAUCGCACCAUAUCUAGUAAAGUACGAUUACUACGUUCAGACACACCAUUAUGUUGUGGUGUUCUGGGUGGCGUGAGUUGUGAAACUAUUUCGCAUUGUUUCAAAUGUAGACCAAACUCGUAACUCAAAUAUUCUCCUCCACGAUCAGAUCGCAGAAACUUUAUUUUCUUGUUACGAUGAUUUUCCACUUCACUCUGAAAUUCUUUGAAUUUUUCAAAUGUUUCAGACUUAUGUUUCAUUAAGUAGAUAUACCCAUAUUUUCUCAAAUCAUCUGUGAAGGUGAGAAAAUAACGAUACCCGCCGCGAGCCUCAAUAUUCAUCGGACCACAUACAUCAGUAUGUAUGAUUUCCAACAAAUCUGUUGCUCGCUCCAUAGUUCCGGAGAACGGCGUUUUAGUCAUCUUGCCCAUAAGGCAUGGUUCGCAAGUACCAAGUGAUUCAUAAUCAAGUGAUUCCAAAAGUCCAUCAGUAUGGAGUUUCUUCAUGCGUUUUAUACCAAUAUGACCCAAACUGCAGUGCCACAAAUAAGUUGCACUAUUAUUAUCAACUAUGCAUCUUUUGGUUUCAACAUUAUGAAUAUGUGUAUCACUACUAUCGAGAUUCAACAAGAAUAUACCACUCUUUAAGGGUGCAUGACCAUAAAAGAUAUUACUCAUAUAAAUAGAACAACCGUUAUUCUCUGAUUUAAAUGAUUAACCGUCUCGCAUCAAACAAGAUCCAGAUAUAAUGUUCAUGCUUAACGCUAGCACCAAAUAACAAUUAUUUAGGUCUAAAACUAAUCCCGAAGGUAGAUGUAGAGGUAGCGUGCCGACGGCGAUCACAUCGACUUUGGAACCAUUUCCUAUGCGCAUCGUCACCUCGUCCUUAGCCAGUUUUCGUUUAAUCCGUAGUCCCUGUUUCGAGUUGCAAAUAUUAGCAACAGAACCAGUAUCAAAUACCCAGGUGCUACUGCGAGCUCUGGGGAGGUACACAUCAAUAACAUGUAUAUCACAUAUACCUUUGUUCACCUUGCCAUCCUUAUUAUCCGCCAAAUACUUGGGGUAGUUCCGCUUCCAGUGACCAGUCUGUUUGCAGUAGAAGCACUCAGUCUCAGGCUUAGGUCCAGACUUGGGUUUCUUCUCCUGAACAGCAACUUGUUUGCCGUUCUUCUUGAAGUUCCCCUUCUUCUUCCCUUUGCCCUUUUUCUUGAAACUGGUGGUAUUAUUGACAAUCAACACUUGAUGCUCCUUCUUGAUUUCUACCUCCGUGGCCUUUAGCAUCGCGAAGAGCUCGGGAAUAGUCUUAUUCAUCCCUUGCGUAUUAUAGUUCAUCACGAAGCUUUUGUAGCUUGGUGGCAGUGAUUGAAGAACUCUGUCAAUGACACUAUCAAUAGGAAGAUUAACUCCCAGUUGAGCCAAGUGAUUAUGAUACCCGGACAUUUUGAGUAUAUGCUCACUGACAGAACUAUUCUCCUCCAUCUUGCAGCUAUAGAACUUAUUGGAGACUUCAUAUCUCACAAUCCGGGCAUUUGCUUGAAAUAUUAACUUCAACUCUUGGAACAUCUCAUAUGCUCCACGACGUUCAAAACGUCGUUGAAGUCCCAAUUCUAAGCCGUAAAGCAUGGCACACUGAACUAUCGAGUAGUCAUCAGCUUUACUCUGCCAAACGUUCUUAACGUUGUCAGCAGCAUCUGCAGCAGGCCUGGCACCCAGCGGUGCUUCCAGGACGUAAUUCUUCUCUGCAGCAAUGAAGAUAAUCCUCAAGUUACGGACCCAGUCCGUGUAAUUGCUACCAUCAUCUUUCAACUUUGCUUUCUCAAGGAACGCAUUAAAAUUCAACGGAAAAACAGUACGGGCCAUCUAUCUACAACAACAUAGAUAAGCAAAAAUACUAUCAGGUACUAAGUUCAUGAUAAAUUUAAAUUCAAUUAAUCAUAUUACUUAAGAACUCCCACUUAGAUAGACAUCCCUCGUAUCAUCUAAGUGAUCACGUGAUCCAUAUCAACUAAAUCAUGACCGAUCAUCACGUGAAAUGGAGUAGUUUUCAAUGGUGAACAUCACUAUGUUGAUCAUAUCUACUAUAUGAUUCACGCUCGACCUUUUGGUCUUAGUGUUCCGAGGCCAUAUCUGCAUAUGCUAGGCUCGUCAAGUUUAACCCGAGUAUUCUGCGUGUGCAAAACUGGCUUGCACCCUAGAUGGACGUAGAGCUUACCACACCCGAUCAUCACGUGGUGUCUCGGCACGACAAACUUUGGCAACGGUGCAUACUCAGGGAGAACACUUUUAUCUUGAAAUUUAGUGAGAGAUCAUCUUAUAAUGCUACCGUCAAACAAAGCAGAAUAAGAUGCAUAAAGGAUAAACAUCACAUGCAAUCAAUAUAAGUGAUAUGAUAUGGCCAUCAUCAUCUUGUGCUUGUGAUCUCCAUCUCCGAAGCAUCGUCACGAUCACCAUCGUCACCGGCGCGACACCUUGAUCUCCAUCGUAGCAUCGUUGUCGUCUCGCCAACUAUUGCUUCUACGACUAUCGCUACCGCUUAGUGAGAAAGUAAAGCAAUUACAGGACGAUUGCAUUGCAUACAAUAAAGAGACAACCAUAUGGCUCCUGCCAGUUGUCGAUAACUCCAUUACAAAACAUGAUCAUCUCAUACAAAGUAUAGCAUCAUGUCUUGACCAUAUCACAUCACAACAUGCCUUGCAAAAACAAGUUAGACGUACUCUACUUUGUUGUUGCAAGUUUUACGUGGCUGCUACGAGUUGAGCAAGAACCGUUCUUACCUACGCAUCAAAACCAUAACGAUAGUUCGUUGAGUUGGUGCUGUUUUAACCCUCUCAAGGACCGGGCGUAGCCACACUCGGUUCAACUAAAGUUGGAGAAACUGACACCCGCCAGCCACCUGUGUGCAAAGCACGUCGGUAGAAUCGUGUAAGCGUACGUGUAAUGUCGGUCCGGGCCGCUUCAUCCAACAAUACCGCCGAACCAAAGUAUGACAUGCUGGUAAGCAGUAUGACUUGUAUCGCCCACAACUCACUUGUGUUCUACUCAUGCAUAUAACAUCAACACAUAAAACCUGGCUCGAAUGCCACUGUUGGGGAAUGUAGUAAUUUCAAAAAAAACCUACACACACGCAGGAUCAUGGUGAUGCACAACAACGAGAGGGGAGAGUGUCGCCCACGUACCCUCGUAGACCGUUAAGCGGAAGCGUUAUGACAACGCGGUUGAUGUAGUUGUACGUCUUCACGAUCGACCGAUCCUCAGCAUUGAACGUACGACACCUCCGUGUUCAACACGCGUUCAGCUCGGUGACGUCUCGCGAACUCAUAAUCCAGUAGAGCUCGGGGAAGAGUUUCGUCAACACGACGGCGUGGUGACGAUGUUGAUGAAGCUACCGCAGCAGGGCUUCGCCUAAACACCUACAGUAUGACCGAGGUGGAUUAUGGUGGAGGGGGGCACCGCACAUGACUAGAGAGAUCUCAAUGAUCAACUUGUGUGUCUAGUGGUGCCCCUUGCCCCCGUAUAUAAAGGAGCAAGGGGGGAGAGGCGGCCAGCCAGGAGGAGGCGCGCCAGGAGGAGUCCUACUACCACCGGGAAUAAGACUCCCUCCUUUCCUAGUUGGAAUAGGAGGAGGGAGAGAGGAAGGAAAGGGGGCGUCGCCCCCCCCCCCUCCUUGUCCAAUUUGGACUAGAGGGAGAGGGGGGGCGCGGCCUGCCCUGGCAGCCCCUCCUCUCUUCCACUAAGGCCCAUCAUGGCCCAUUAAACCCCCGGGGGGGUUCCGGUAACCCCCGGUACUCCCGUAAAAUCCCGAUUUCACCCGGAACACUUCCGAUAUCCAAAUAUAGGCUUCCAAUAUAUAAAUCUUUAUGUCUCAACCAUUUCGAGACUCCUCGUCAUGUCUGUGAUCAAAUCUGGGACUCCGAACUACCUUUGGUACAUCAAAACAUAUAAACUCAUAAAACUGAUCGUCACAGAACUUUAAGCGUGCGGACCCUACGGGUUCGAGAACUAUGUAGUAAUGACCGAGACACGUCUCCGGUCAAUAACAAAUAGCGGAACCUGGAUGCUCAUAUUGGUUCCUACAUAUUCUACGAAGAUCUUUAUCGGUCAAACCGCACAACACUAUAUGUUGUUCUAUUUGUCAUGGUAUGUUACUUGCCCGAGAUUAUCCAAUACAUAGUUCAAUCUCGUUACCGGCAAGUCUUUUUACUCGUUCCGUAAUACAUCAUCCUGUAACUAACUCAUUAGUUAUCAUGCUUGCAAAGCUUAUAGUGAUGUGUAUUAUCGAGAGGGCCCAGAGAUACCUCUCUGACAAUCGGAGUGACAAAUCCUAAUCUUGAUCUAUGCCAACUCAACAAGUACCAUCGGAAACACCUAUAGAGCACCUUUAUGAUCACCCAGUUAUGUUUGUGACGUUUGGUAGCACACAAAGUGUUCCUCCGGCAUUCGGGAGUUGCAUAAUCUCAUAGUCAUAAGAACAUGUAUAAGUCAUGAAGAAAGCAAUAGCAGUAAACAAACGAUCAAGUGCUAAGCUAACGGAAUGGGUCAAGUCAAUCACAUCAUUCUCCUAAUGAUGUGAUCCCAUUGAUCAAAUAACAACUCAUGUCAAUGGUUAGGAAACUUAACCAUCUUUGAUCAAUGAGCUAGUCAAGUAGAGUCAUACUAGUGACACUAUGUUUGUAUAUGUAUUCACACAUGUAUUAUGUUUCCGGUUAAUACAAUUCUAGCAUGAAUAAUAAACAUUUAUCAUGAAAUAAGGAAAUAAAUAAUAACUUUAUUAUUGCCUCUAGGGCAUAUUUCCUUCACGUUCAGCAUCGCCAGGAUCGUCUGUCUCAUUUAUGGGUGUUCCUAUUUAAUGGUUGAGGCAACAAAGUGCCCCUAAAAGGCGCACUAGGCCUACUCUCAAAGCUUCUUCGCUCACUAGUUGCUUGCUACUCUGUUUUUCUAACUCGGCUCUUUUCUCCUGCCAACUCAAGAAAAAAUAUAGUACCGUCUUUAUAAAAACUAGUGAAAUUAAAAAAAACAGAUUAUAAAAUUAUCAUGAUUUUAAAAUUUUCUAGUAAAUUUAAAAAAGUUCAUAAAUUCAAAUAUUUUUUGAAUACUAAAAAAUUCCCAAGAGUUUAAAACAAUAAUUUGAAUAUUUUUUGAACUAAAAAAUGUUCAUGCUUCGAAAACAUGUUUGAGAAUUUAAAAAAUGUUCAUGAAUCUGACAAUGUCCAUGAAUAUGAAAAAUAUUCGCAAGUUUUAAAAUUUUGGCAAAAUUUUAAAAUAUUCAUGAAUCUAAACAUAUCCAUUGGUUUACAAAAUAUUAUUAAUUUGAAACAAACAAAAAUAUGACAACAAAGUACCAGAAAAUAUGAAGAAACCGUAAAAACAAACAUAAAAAUGAAAACAAAUCGGCGAAAAAAAAGAAAUACAAAAGGAGAAAAUGGGCUAGAAUCAUCUAGAACCUUCCCAAAACAGGAUGGAAGGUACAAAACCGGUAACAUGGUGCCUAUUUGGGCCGGCUUAAGAAUUGUUUUAGUCUAAACACGCCCUCUUUAUUAGUUGGUAACAAUGUUUAUCAGAAUACAACUAAUGGGAGGGAGUUGUAGGAGCCAAAUAUGUCUACCUACUGUAUGGCCUAGGGCAUGUUUAGCGAGACCGUGCGCCUCGAAAUUUGACUCCCCCCUCUUGAAAGAGAAGAAAAAAGACUAGAACUCCAACAUCAACGAUGAAAUCUCAUUCUCGUCAAGCCCUCCUCUGCCAUCCAUGAUGUUUUUCACAAUUCCUUUUCAAUCAGUCACCACUUUCAUAUGUUUCGUGAAGAGCAUUGCGUCUAGCAUGCCAAGGAAUUGUGAAAGGUAUUAUCUAGCUUUAGCCUGCUCAUUAGUAAAUGGGGCUUCCCGGGGCGUGCAUUCUAUACCAAAGGGCUACUAUUACACCCUACGGGGGUGAAAUAGGAAAUGCCCUCGCCUAUUGCGAUAUUGAACCUCACGUCGCCUCAAGCGUCCUUCCAGGCCAGUCCCAGUAUAAUGUGUAUCUACCACACACAGUUUCACAAAAAAAAUGAAAAGUUCACCACUCAUUAAAAAAUGUUCAUAUCAUUCAUAAAAAUGUUCAUCACACUAUUUAAAAAAAUCACGUGCUUAAAAUUAGUUUAUGACAUUGUAAAAAAUGUGCAUAUAUUAUGUAAUUUUAUUUUCUCAAUUUGUAAAAAAACAUUCAUAUGAUUCAAAAAAUGUUUAUGACACUUACAAAAUAUUCACAUGUUUAAAAAUAUGUUUUUGCGUGGAUAUUUUAAAAUGAGUUCAUGAUAUUUUUUUAAAUAAUCAUUAAAACGUAAAAAAGUGUUCCCGUAAUUGGCAGAAAACGUUCGUAACAUUCAAAUAAUAUCCAUGAAAUUUUAAAAAUGUUCACACAUCUAAAAAUAUGUCGCAUGACAUUGUAGGAAAUUUUCAUGAAAUUUAAAAAGUUAUCGACGUGUGUUUCAAAACGUUCAUUGUGUAUUAUUUGAUGUGCAUCUUAUAAAUGUGCAACAUGUAUUUAAAAAAAAUGUUAGACCUGUAUAUGGAAGAUAUUCAACAUGUAUUAAAAAGUAGAUGUGUAUAUCUGGAAAAAAUAAAUAAAGGAAAAGGAAACCGAGAAAAAAAACAAUGAAGAUAAACGUAGAAAAUGAAAAAUGAAAGAAAAACAUGUGAAAACUUUCCAUAACCACUCCCACUAUCUCGAUUGACAUACAUGGACUAGUUCUGCAUCGCAUGCGUUAACUUACUGCUGUACUGAACAUUCUAUAUCAUGAAGAUUGUUUUUUUUUUGUUGAGAAAUCCAUGAAGAUUUAUUGGUUUUUUUUAGGGAUAUGAAGAUUUAUCGGUAUAAACUCAUGAGCACACAUGAACCCAGAAAGAGCCCGGAGCAAGGCCACAAGACAACAAGAGUGUUUUUGUUCAAAAAAAAGACUACAAGAGUGUUUCCCUUUUCUCCAAGAAAAAAAACAAGAGUGUUUCCCAGGGUCAGUGGGGUCUCCUUGCUGCCGGGCCAAAGCCGCCCCGAUCGACUACCACCAAGUCCUGUACCCCAAAAAAACAAGUCCACUGUAGCUGCCCUCAGUCGCUCAAAAAAAAACUGCCCUAAAAAAAAGAAAUCCAAGCCCACUGUACCGAGACGUUGCCUGGCGGCCGGUACAGCAGCUUCCAAGCUGACACGCCACACUAGCGUGCCUUUUGCGAGAGGGACAGCCCUGCUCGCCCUCGCAUCGAGACACCACUCACUGUCCCACACCCGUCGCGACGGAGCGACCGGCGUCACGUGAAGCCACGUGAACCGGGGGCCUAUCAACCGGUCCACGGCUUUGUUUCAUUGUGCAGAAAUUUUUAUCGACCCCGAACAAAUCAUGGUGAUACAGGAGCAUCUUAAUAGUUUUCGUAUUCAUAGAAUAAUCAUAGUGUAAAGAACCUUCCUUUCUUUAGAAAUUUCAUAAAUCCUUUCAAACUUUCCCUUCGUCUACGGGGAAAAUAAGAAUUCCGUAAGGCCUUUUUUGGUUCAUACGAUAGGACUAUUGUAGGAAUAGGAAUCUUGUAAGAAAUGAGAUGACAUGUAUCUCAAAUUCUAUAAGUAUGAGUAGGAAUAGAAAACAAGAUGUCAUUUGAACACCAAAAGAAUUUUUUCAUUAAGCCUAGGCUUAUUUUUUUUUUUAUGAAAUGUGAAGGAUAGAAACCAAUCCUAUGUAGAAAUAGGAAUCAAUUCCUAUGAACCAAAAGGCUCUAAAAAAAUUCUAUAAAAAUCCUAUCCUCUAAAAUUUCUAUGAAAUUCCUCCAAACCAGGCCAAAAAGUGUCUCGUCUCAUCAGCUCACCACACCCACCACACGGCCACGGCGCGGCCGCUAACUGUCACGCCGCCGGCCGCCAUCCGCUGUUAGCCACUGUCGGACUUGUUAUCGUCGUUGUGCCACUGUUAAAAAUAUUUUUAGGAAAUGUGUUAAUAUCUCCAAAAUGUUAUAGACUCUGGAAAAAGGUUUAUGGGGAGAUAUUUUUGCUUCAGUUGCGCUACAGAGUUUCAAGUAGAAACUGAAAUAGAUCAAGGCAGGGCGCAGGACGUUGGAUCAAGUGCAUGAUGCAUCCAAAUAUGCUACGACCCCAAUGCUGCUAAGGGGCACCUGUUUGCCACCAGCGUAAGCUGAAACCAUCCCGUUUUCCAAUUAAUUUCAUGAAAUAUGUACAAGAAGUACUAGCAUUUGUAUGUACAGUACAUCCACCAUCAACAAUUUCCAAAGGUUUGCACAUGUUUGUUCCCCCUUCCAACCAGAAACAUACUGUGACGAGACAUGAUUGCUGCUACCCAAGUGCGCCCGGCCCAAGCUCAAGCCCAUCGAGGCCCCACAAAACCCACAUGUCGCUCCAUCCGUCCCCGCGAGGGCCGGUGCGGCGUCGUGAUCAGCUCGGGCCCCAGCAGCUGAGGUACAUGGCCUUGCGGAGCGACUCAUCGGCGCCGGCCUGCCUCCGGCCGUCGUCGGCGACGGCCCGCGCCGCCCCGAGCGCGGCGGCCUGGGGAGCGAGCCCGGCAAGCCGGUCCCGCGACCCCGCCCCCGCCGCCCUCUCCCUCUGCGCCCGCACGGCGGCCACCGUCGCUGCCACCCACACACGGCUCAUCUUAAAAUUCUACCCGAUCGGUUCGUUUCCAAAGUCCUCCUACUCUGUUCUCAGCUCGCUUCGCUCUCUUCUCUGUGCUGUGCACUGCUAGCUCUGGAGGUGUGAGAAUGGGGAAGAAGGGCCGGUAUUUGUAGUCCGAGCGAGGGCGGUUUUGGUCAUUGCGUCUGAUGGUUUCGUGGCUGCUGGUUUCGGUCUUAUCAGUGUGCGGUGGUGCGAUAUUGUCGCGGGAGAAAUGGGGCGGCAUGGCCGUGAGGGACCCAGCUCCGUGGGUCAGCUACAGGUGUCGAGGCUUAUCGCCGGGGGCAGUGGUGACUCAUCGUUUCCCAUGGCUGGCCGUGGGCUCCGCCUGCUUUGUCGCCUUUGUAUUCUCUUGUACUAUCCACUCUUGUCCACUUCCCCCGCACUUUGUUUGUUUACUGGAGUAGUCGUACAACGGAAUCGUGGUUGAGAGUUUUCCUUUGCGACAAAUCAUGGUGAGACUUCACAUGGUAAUUUGCUCAUCUUUUAUCGGAGACAACAAUAAUUGGUCUCAAACUGGAUCUUAUCACUACACUAAUCCCGCGUUUGGUGGUACUAUACGACGAUAGUAGUACUUCCUUCAUCACGGUUUAAAAAGCACAGUUAAAUUUGCGUGUGUUUUCAUAAUAGAUAAGGUUUAUGGCACAUUGCAUUUAUUUCUAGUAGCUAAUUAGUAUUUCGAUAUACUAUUUCUAUAUGCAUGCGUAGUGUGAAUGCUAUUUUUUAGCCCAUCUCAUAACCAAUAGAUAACAGUUGACAUGGCAAUUCUCCGAUUUUACUACCACGGGACACAAUAAUUGGUCCUAAUCGAGAGUAUGUCCAACAUCUCAACUUGUACCAGUACACUUUGAGAGUAGAUUCGACGAAGGGAAAUGAACAGGCUUAAAACACAUGCAUACGAGAGACACCAAUUCAGAGGUACUUUGACUCAAAAGAUUUCUAUAGAAUUUUUUAAGGUCAGAAUUCAUAAGAAUACUAGAAGGAUUGUGUACGCUUUGUUUUGCCCUUUGUGUUGUCGGAACUUCAUACAAAAAAAUUGGUUUGAUGCAUGCGUGAGGGUGAUGAUAGUGUAUGUUUUCUUUUUUUUUUAAUAAUGUGGUGUUUUGGUGGGCUUGUUCUAGAGGUGUGAUUCUGUAUUAAGCAACCUACAUGUAUUUUGAAAAAUUUCUUGUGAUGUUAAGCGCAUGUACUAUAUUAGUGAUACAAUGUUGCAUGUUUAUGAUUUUUUUUCAGGUGAUGAAAGGGUCAUAUGUUUUUAUAGGCUGACCAUUGCCGAUAGAUUUGAGAACUCAUUGACUCGGUUAAAAUCAUGAACCAAAUUCAAAAUUGGACACCUUAAUCAAAACCAUUGACCCAGUCAAAAUUGUGAACCAUAUCCGAAUUUUAACACCUGAAUUGAAUAAAAACUAUGAACCAAAUUCAAAACAACCACAAUCAAAGUCAUUGAUCUAGUCAAAAUUGUGAACCACGACCAAAUAGAACACCUCAAUUGAAUAAGAGAGCUCCAAAAUUAGGAGCAUAGCCUAUUUAUAUUUUAUAGAUGUGCUAUGUUAGGUUUUGAUCAUAUGAUUGGAUCAUAUAGGAUUUUUCCCAAAUGAAUCAUGUGUAUUGUAUUUCAUUAGAAAUCUAGCAUCCACUUCAACCUCCUUUUACGAUUCCUUUCUUUUUCUGUGACGUCAAGCACUCCAUGCUAAUCUUAUAGUCAAGCACUCCAUGCUAAUCUUAUAGGAUUCAAAUGUGCAUGUCACUUUAAUCCUAUAUUUUGCCUAUUCAUAUGUUUGAGAAUCGUGAGAAUCAAAGUGGGUCUUACAUGAAAAAUACCCUAUGGGCAAAGAGUAACUGUCGUAGGACAAUCGGUCCACUAUAAUCCUAUUAUCAAAUUGGAUGCAAUGAAGNNNNNNNNNNNNNNNNNNNNNNNNNNNNNNNNNNNNNNNNNNNNNNNNNNNNNNNNNNNNNNNNNNNNNNNNNNNNNNNNNNNNNNNNNNNNNNNNNNNNNNNNNNNNNNNNNNNNNNNNNNNNNNNNNNNNNNNNNNNNNNNNNNNNNNNNNNNNNNNNNNNNNNNNNNNNNNNNNNNNNNNNNNNNNNNNNNNNNNNNNNNNNNNNNNNNNNNNNNNNNGUCAUGACCAUAAACAACAACCACUCUUAGGAGGAGUAAACAACAUGCAAGUAAAACCAGCAAAUAGAUAAACACAAUAUAUGUCCUCUUUCAUUCUUGGAUGGUUGCUCUCAAACCAUUUACCCUAUUGCAUGAAACUUGGUAAAAUAUGUACCACAAUGUGAUGAUAUCAAAACUCCACCGCUAUCCAACAACAUUUAAUUGACCCCUAUGACUCAAAAUAUAAUCAAAUUAUACGCCUUUAAGUUUCAUAUAAACAUAUUAGACCAAGUCAUUUAUGAAACUAGAUGAUACCCCACGCGUUGCUGCGAGAAUUUGUUGCUAUAUAUUUUAAUGCGAUUUGGUUGAAUGAAAUUUUGCCAAGGUAAUUUGUUCUCUUUAGCAAUGCACAAUACUGCGAUCCAUGUAAAAAUAAUGCAAUGUUGCUAACAAAAAGGUGGAAUAUGAGUUUACCUCCAGUGGGUAGUAAGAGGCCAUAAAAAUUAGCUAGCAAUCAAUAUUACGUAUGUGGCAUCAGCUGUAUAUAAAGAACUCUGUCUAUGUGCACACCAUUGUAAAUUAUACUGAAUGUACUUUAAAAUAACUGUAAAUAUUUUUUUUCAAUUGGAAUUAAAAAGAAUUACAAAUGCCAUGCACCAUAAAGACUUAACUUACGUAUUCUCAUCUAUAAGAUCAGAGGACAGAGAGUUAGCCUUCCAUCCCAACAUGAAACUGCAAUGCAACAUCAGGUGGGAAAUGUCCAAAUGGGAACUGAAAAAGCGGGAUGAGGAAGAAUAAGUUCCCUAAAUAAGAAACGACAUUCGAACAUAAAAAACAUGUGCAUCCUGAUGCUUAUAAAAGGUAGAAGACUUUACAUCGCCUCUGUUUAUGCUAAGAGAAACCUCAUAUUUUGGCUCAUAUACGUCAAACAAAUUCAGUUAAGAAAGACCUCAGUCGCAUAGUAGAUCCAAGAAGAAAGCAUGUGAGCUAAUGUUUGGGAUGACUUGCCUGACAUUGAAGUGCGGAGAACUCAAACGGCAGUGUCACCAGUCCGCUACAGUGCCUCGGGUGGCGUCAUCAAGUACGCCGGCAGUUCGAUCUGCUAAAAAUUGAUGUGGAGACACCUCUAUUUUGGGCUUGAUUAGCCUUAUAGAUUGGGAUUGCUGGCUGUAGCACACGUAUAUCCUGAGAAGAUUUUUAAGGCUUGGGAUAUAAGAAUUUGGGGUCGGAGCAUGGUGUUAAGGGAUGACGAAUAAGGUUGAACUUUACCUCUGCAAAUGGGAGAAUGGACUCGAUAGGAGACUGUAGUUGGACGGCAGUCGGCAACAACGCAAAUCUCAUUUCAUCAGAACUCCCCACAUGUCGAUGGACUCGAGUUGGUCCCCCGUCCCAGCCAUGGGGACGCGCCCGGCGGCCGGCGGUACUCAGAGGCCGGACGGGGAGCACACAGGUGCCCGCUGUUUCCAGACGCCGCGCUAUGCAGAUGGGCGACAUCGACAGCAAGCUCAGAUGCUGCUGCGACAGCACGUUGGGGAGAUGCGAUCCUCCCAUCCCCUGCCCGCGGCCACUCCUUCUAUAUCCUCCUCCAUCCUCCUCCUAUCCCUUCUGCGUCGAGCAAGAUUUGAAAGGGGAUGAGGAUGCGAUGUUGAGGCACUUGCCAUGAUUUGGAGAGGCGAUCAAUUAUGUCUCUUCGGAUGCUUGCGUUAGUUCCAGAACAUAUGAGCCGUCGCAAGAUCACGAGUCAUACGGGCAUGCGAGACAACGCAGUAGUAUGCGGCUCGGGAACGUGACUCGCCGAAGUUGCCUCUAAUUUAAUUAAAAAACGUGAAGCGGACAGAAGAGAAAUUAAAUCAUCACAAAAAUAAGAUGAUGUGGCUAGACUAAUGAGGUGGAGUGAGAUGAGUGGCUGCAUGUUGAUUGAUGAUGUGGAUAGCUUGUAUGUCAAUAGAAAUAAGAUAGUGAGGAUCAACUAUUUAGGUAUUAUAGAUCUGAUGCUCCAAGCACCACAAACAACUAAUAAAGAUACAAUGCUCUUGAGCUAAUCCAACCAUGUCUAAGCCUCCAACGGACAAGAUCAGUGAAGAUCAAGAAGAAAUUAUCUAUGUGGAAUAGACUUCUCAUCUCAGGUUGUUGGACCACUUAUUUUUUUGCACCAGUAGGGAAAACAUGUUCCCUGGAAACUUCAGAUAGGGUAGGAACCUUAUAACUCUAUGGUUAAAUAUCUAUGCCUCUACUCCUCUUCGGCAUCUCUUACGCCAACAGAAGGGAGCAUCACACAACAUUUUUUGGACUCGUUGUAACAUUGAAGUACGGCACGCAUCAGUGCUCUCAUGAUGACUAACUUUCCAUACACUACUCCUUGAAUCCCCAAUAUUAACCCUAACAGAGGCACUGGCAUCACCAUGCAAUUAGAAACCCGUCAAUUAGAUGAUCACUUGAAAAAUUAAACAAAAGUGAUCAUUAGAGUAUGUAUGGUUGUUUUAAGUCAACAACAUUUGCGUAAACAACAAGAUAUUAACUCAAGAUUGCUAAAUUUGAAACAAUCUGCAUAGAUGUUCAUGGUUUGGUAGCAAAUUAGCAUGACUGUUAUAUAUACUCCAUGAAAUCAAUUUUGGACUGAAUGACAGAGCAAAUUAGAAGAGUUAACUCUUGUGGGGGAUUCAUAUGAGCAAGAUAAUGUUUGUUGCAGUAAUCUUUUGCAUUACAAUAAAAAUAAUCCAUGACUCCAUCUGCUUUUGACUUGGUGACUCUUGCUACCAAGCAAUAGUAUACACUCAAGUCAGUAAUGCCUCUCCAAAGUGGGGAAUGUUGCCAACCCUUGUUAAGGCGAUGAUUUGAGGAUGUUGCAUUGCCACUGACAAAAUUGAUAGCUCGCAUGAAAUAUGUAUGGUUACGAUUAGAGGCUAGUGAAUCUAGUAAAUGAUUAAUAAUCCACCAAUUCAUGUUCACCAAUUAUAAUUAUAUCCCGCAAGUCUCGUGACUCCUUUGUAUUUAGUGAUGGUACAUUCUAAGGGCAUUUCUAACCGAUCCCCUAAAAAUAGCGGAGUAUCCGGCGGAGUAAAAGCUUAGUGGAGUAUAUAUACUCAACUAAAAUUUCGUCGGACCUAGCCGAUCCCCUAUAUAUGACAGAGUAAAAAAUAGUUGCAUUUCAUUUUCGGCCAUCGAAACACAUUUCUUUGCUUCUUUAUUUCAUUCAACGACAUUGGAGUACAUAAUUCACCAAUUCUUUGCCACGAGAGCAAGACUAAGAAAGCAAGAACCACAAUUAGACAUUUCAAAAUAUAUUCAAUUUUCUUAACUGCUCCCACUAGUUGGAUUAAUAUCUUCUCUAUGUCUUCAUUGUUGAUCUGCGGCUUCUCGAUCUUGGACACUUCUUUCUUCUUUGAUUCUAAAGAAGUAGAUGUUGCUUCGCAUCUAAUCUCACCUCUAGUCUGAUCUCUAGCUUCGAUUUUAACAAUGAGCGCACAGACAUCUAUCAAAUUUUGUGCUAUCAACAGAUCAAUGUUUUCUUCCCAAUACCAAAACUUGCAUCCCUCCUACACACAAUUUUGAGCAAGCAAUGAGAUACCGAAAUUGCGUCGAAUCCGGUGUACAACCAAAUCAAAACAAGCACAUACCCCAUAAUUUGUGCACUUGAAGAAAACCUAUUCGGGAUGUUGCGGCGUGGUAGAAACUUGGCCCACCACCCGCCGCGUGCAGUCGUAUCACUGUAUGACCGGCAAGGUUGAUGUAGGGUGGCUAUUUAUAACCGAUGGAGCAAGCUCUAGGGAUGAUAUGACUAUUGGAGGCUCACUCACAACGUCAAGAUAACACAUGGCUAACUAUCAGAUUUCUAAACAGGCCACUCAUGUGGAUUGUCUUGCCACGCAAGACAUCCAGCUUCAGCGAGGCAUUGAACUAAUGGGUCCCGAAGAAUUACAUCUCGGACUUCGAAGCCAAAUGAACUCAUAUUUGAACUCUCAAAUUCUUCACUCGAAGAUUUAGGUUUGGAUUGAGCACACAUUAGAAGAGUUGAAUCUAACUUUCACUUAGACCCCUCUUAAUAAUAUGUUUGUCCUAUUUACUCAGAUAGAAGUAAAAACUAGUAAACAAAAGUCCAAUCUUUUGCUUCACAUUUGUCAAUGAACUUCGUGUUGGGGAAUGCAGUAAUUUCAAAAAAAUCCUAUGCACACGCAAGAUCUAUCAUGGUGAUGCAUAGAAACGAGAGGGGAGAGUGUAGUCCACGUACCCUCGUAGACCGUAAGCGGAAUCGUUAUGACAACGUGGUUGAUGUAGUCGUACGACUUCGCGAUCCGAACGAUCCUAGUACCGUAAGUACGGCACCUCCGUGAUCUACACACGUUCGGGUCGGUGACGUCCCACGAACUCUUGAUCCAGCUAAGUGUUGAGGGAGAGUUUCGUGAGCACGACGGCGUGAUGACGAUGAUGAUGAAUUUACCGGCGCAGGGCUUUGCCUAAGCACUAUGAAGAUUUGACUGGGGUGGAUUAUGGUGGAGGGAGGCACCACACAUGGCUAAGACAGAUGUUUGUUGUGUGUUCUAGGGUGCCCCCUGCCCCCGUAUAUAAAGGAGUAAGGGGGGAGGCCGGCCGGCCCUAGGGCGCACCAAGGAGGGAAGGAAUCCUCCUCCUAGUAGGAGUAGGGUCCCUCCUUUCCUAGUAGUUUCUACUAGGAGGGGGGAGGAGUGGGAGAGGGGAAGGAAAAGGGGGGGGGGCGCCACCCUCCUCCUAGUCCAAUUCGGACUCAAGGGGGAGGUGAAGGAAAUAUGCCCUAGAGGCAAUAAUAAAGUUAUUAUUUAUUUCCUUAUAUCAUGAUAAAUGUUUAUUAUUCAUGCUAGAAUUGUAUUAACCGGAAACAUAAUACUUGUGUGAAUACAUAGACAAACUAAACGUCACUGGUAUGCCUCUACUUGACUAGCUCGUUAAUCGAAGAUGGUUAUGUUUCCUAACCAUAGACAUGUGAUGUCAUUUGAUUAACGGGAUCACAUCAUUAGGAGAAUGAUGUGAUUGACAUGACCCAUUCCAUUAGCUUAGCACCCGAUCGUUUAGUAUGUUGCUAUUGCUUUCUUCAUGACUUAUACAUGUUCCUGUGACUAUGAGAUUAUGCAACUCCCGUUUGCCAGAGAAACACUUUAUGUGCUACCAAACGUCACAACGUAACUGGGUGAUUAUAAAAGUGCUCUACAGGUGUCUCCAAAGGUACAUGUUGGGUUGGCGUAUUUCGAUAUUAGGAUUUGUCACUCCGAUUGUCAUAGAGGUAUCUCUGGGCCCUCUCGGUAAUGCACAUCACUUAAGCCUUGCAAGCAAUGCAACUAAUGAGUUAGCUGUGAGAUGAUGUAUUACGAAACGAGUAAAGAGACUUGCCAAUAACGAGAUUGCACUAGGUAUUGAGAUACCGACGAUCGAAUCUCGGGCAAGUAACAUACCGAUGACAAAGGGAACAACGUAUGUUGUUAUGCGGUCUGACCGAUAAAGAUCUUCGUAGAAUAUGUAGGAGCCAAUAUGAGCAUCCAGGUUCCGCUAUUGGUUAUUGACCGGAGACGUGUCUCGGUCAUGUCUACAUUGUUCUCGAACCCCUAGGGUCCGCACACUUAACGUUACGAUGAUAGUUUCAUUAUGAGUUUAUAUAUUUUGAUGUACCGAAGGUUGUUCGGAGUCCCGGAUAUGAUCACGGACAUGACGAGGAGUCUCGAAAUGGUUGAGACAUAAAGAUCAAUAUAUUGGACGGCUAUAUUCGGACACCGGAAGUGUUUCGGGUAAUUUCGGAGAAAACCGGAGUGCCGGAAGGGUUACCGGAACCCCCCAGGGAAGUAUUGGGCCUUAGUGGGCCCGAGGGGAGAGAGAGGGCAGCAGCCCAGGAGGUGGCGCGCCCCCUCCCAUGAGGAGUCUGAAUUGGACUAGGGGAGGGGUGCGCGGCCCCUCUUUCCCUCUCCCUCUCCCUCUCUUUCCUUUCCCCUUCUCUCUUCCUAGUUGGACUAGGAAAAGGGUGUCCUAUUCCUACUAGGAGGAGGACUCCCCCCUCCUUGGCACGCCCCAAGGGACGGCCGGCCUCCCCCUUGCUCCUUUAUAUACGGGGGCAGGGGGCACCUCUAUACACACAAGUUGAUCUUCGUGAUCGUUCUCUUAGCCAUGUGCGGUGCCCCCCUCCACCAUAAUCCUCGAUAAUAUUGUAGCGGUGCUUAGGCGAAGCCCUGCGACGGUAGAACAUCAAGAUCGUCACCACGCCGUCGUGCUGACGGAACUCUUCCCCGACACUUUGCUGGAUCAGAGUCCGGGGAUCGUCAUCGAGUUGAACGUGUGCUAGAACUCGGAGGUGUCAUAGUUUCGGUGCUUGAUCGGUCGGGCCCUGAAGACGUACGACUACAUCAACUGCGUUGUGCUAACGCUUCCGCUUCCGGUCUACGAGGGUACGUAGACAACACUCUCCCCUCUCGUUGCUAUGCAUCACCAUGAUCUUGCGUGUGCGUAGGGAAAAUUUGAAAUUACUACGUUCCCCAACAGUGGCAUCCGAGCCUAGGUUUUAUGUGCUGAUGUUAUAUGCACGAGUAGAACACAAGUGAGUUGUGGGCGAUAUAAGUCAUACUGCUUACCAGCAUGUCAUACUUUGGUUCGGCGGUAUUGUUGGAUGAAGCGGCCCGGACCGACAUUACAUGUACGCUUACGCGAGACUGGUUCUACCGACGUGCUUUGCACACAGGUGGCUGGCGGGUGUUAGUUUCUCCAACUUUAGUUGAACUGAGUGUGGCUACGCCCGGUCCUUGCGAAGGUUAAAACAGCACCAACUUGACAAACUAUAGUUGUGGUUUUGAUGCGUAGAUAAGAUUGGUUCUUGCUUAAGCCCGUAGCAGCCACGUAAAACUUGCAACAAACAAAGUAGAGGACGUCUAACUUGUUUUUGCAGGGCAUGUUGUGAUGUGAUAUGGUCAAGAAAUGAUGCUAAAUUUUAUUGGGCCAUUUGCAUUUCUGUCCCUAACUCGAACCACCUAAUCAGAUAUACCCCUAAUUCGAAAGCCUGCUCAAAUUUGCCCCUCCGCCGUUAGGUGCCCUUAUAGAAAUGCCCUUCUACGCCAUUACCGUCCGGUCAAACAGCUUUGACCGUCCUAAAAAAAAUAGCAAAAAAAUCUAAAAAAUCUAAAUUUUUGUGAGAUCGAAGAUACUCAUGUGCCCAAGGUCUGUGCAAAUUUUCGUGCUAUUUGGACAUUCCAGGAGCUCGUGGCGAGAAAAAACAGUUAAUCUGCACGCUUGUGAACAAUAAAUUUGAAAUAAAAUAGCAAGAAAAUUUAAAAAAAUAUGAAUUUUUUUGGCAUCAAAGUGGCUUGGGUGCACAAGGUGCUUGCAAGUUUUUGUGAUCAAAAGACAUGCGAGGAGCUCUAGCAAGAAAAAAGAAAAUAGUCAUUUUUCCCAAGUUUUUUCCCGAGCCAAAUUUUGUUUUUUCUCCACAAGCCCCUUCAAUGUCCAAACACAACAAAAAUUUGCACGCAGCUUGCAGACUCGCGCCUCUUUGAUGCCAAAAAAAUUUAUAUUUUUUUAAUUUUCUUGCUAUUUUUUGAAUUUACUGUUCACAGGCUUACAUAUUUAUUGUUUUUCCUCUGACAUGAGCUCCUGGAAUGUACAAACAGCACGAAACUUUUCACGCACCUUGCAAACCUGAGUAUCUUUGAUCCCACAAAUUUUCAGAUUUUUUAGAAUUUUUUUGCUAUUUUUUCAGGACGGUCAAAGCCCUUUGACCUGCUUUGACCUGCUUUGACCGGACGGUAACGACACAGAAGGGUAUUUCUGUAAGUGCACCGAACUGCGGAGGGGCAAAUUUGAGCAGGCUUUGAAAUUAGGGGUAAAUCUGAGAGUGGGCGCAAAUUAGUGGCAUAGAUGUAAAUGUCCCAAUUUUAUUGUAUGAGAUGAUCAUGUUUUGUAACCGAGUUAUCGGCAACUGGCAGGAGCCAUAUGGUUGUCGCUUUAUUGUAUGCGAUGCAAUCGCCCUAUAAUGCUUUACUUUAUCACUAAGCGGUAGCGAUAGUCGUAGAAGCAUAAGAUUGGCGAGACGACAACGAUGCUACGAUGGAGAUCAAGGUGUCGCGCCGGUGACAAUGGUGAUCAUGACGAUGCUUCGGAGAUGGAGAUCACAAGCACAAGAUGAUGAUGGCCAUAUCAUAUCACUUAUAUUGAUUGCAUGUGAUGUUUAUCUUUUAUGCAUCUUAUCUUGCUUUGAUUGACGGUAGCAUUAUAAGAUGAUCUCUCACUAAAUUUCAAGAUAAAAGUGUUCUCUCUGAGUAUGCACAGUUGCCAAAGUUCGUCGUGCCCAGACACCACAUGAUGAUCGGGUGUGAUAAGCUCUACGUCCAUCUACAACGGGUGCAAGCCAGUUUUGCACACGCAGAAUACUCAGGUUAAACUUGACGAGCCUAGCAUAUGCAGAUAUUGCCUCGGAACACUAAGACCGAAAGGUCGAGCGUGAAUCAUAUAGUAGAUAUGAACAUAGUGAUGUUCACCAUUGAAAACUACUCCAUUUCACGUGAUGAUCGGUUAUGGUUUAGUUGAUUUGGAUCACGUGAUCACGUAGAUGAUAAGAGGGAUGUCUAUCUAAGUGGGAGUUCUUAAGUAAUAUGAUUAAUUGAACUUAAAUUUAUCAUGAACUUAGUACCUGAUAGUAUCUUGCUUGUUUAUGUUUAAUUGUAGAUAGAUGGCCCGUGCUAUUGUUCCGUUGAAUUUUAAUGCGUUCCUUGAGAAAGCAAAGUUGAAAGAUGAUGGUAGCAAUUACACGGACUGGGUCCAUAACUUGAGGAUUAUCUUCAUUGCUGUAGAGAAGAAUUACGUCCUGGAAGCACUGCUGGGUGCCAGGCCUACUGCAGAUGCUGCUGACAACGUUAAGAACGUUUGGCAGAGUAAAGUUGAUGACUACUCGAUAGUUCAGUGUGCCAAGCUUUACGACUUAAAACCGGGACUUCAACGAUGUUUUGAACGUCAUGGAGCAUAUGAGAUGUUCUAGGAGUUGAAGUUAAUAUUUCAAGCAAAUGCCCGGAUUGAGAAUAUGAAGUCUCCAAUAAGUUCUAUAGCUGCAAGAUGGAGGAGAACAGUUCUGUCAGUGAGCAUAUACUCAAAAUGUCUGGGUAUAAUAAUCACUUGAUUCAACUGGGAGUUAAUCUUCCGGAUGAUUGCGUCAUUGACAGAAUUCUCCAAUCACUUCCACCUAGCUACAAGAGCUUCGUGAUGAACUAUAAAUACAAGGGAUGGAUAAAACAAUUCCCGAUCUCUUCACAAUGCUAAAAACUGCGGAGGUAGAAAUCAAGAAGGAGCAUCAAGUGUUGAUGGUCAACAAGACCACUAGUUUCAAGAAAAAGGGCAAGGUGAAGAAGAAGGGGAACUUCAAGAAGAACAGCAAGCAAGUUGCUGCUCAGGAGAAGAAACCCAAGUCUAGUCCUAAGCCUGAAACUGAGUGCUUUUACUGCAAGCAGACUGGUCACUGGAAGCGGAACUGCCCCAAGUAUUUGGCGGAUAAGAAGGAUGGCAAGGUGAACAAAGGUAUAUGUGAUAUACAUGUUAUUGAUGUGUACCUUACUAGAGCUCGCAGUAGCACCUGGGUAUUUGAUACUGGUUUUGUUGCUAAUAUUUGCAACUCGAAACAGGGACUACGGAUUAAGCGAACACUGGCGAAGGACGAGGUGACGAUGCGUGUGGGAAAUGGUUCCAAAGUCGAUGUGAUCGCAGUCGGCACGCUACCUCUACAUCUACCAUCGGGAUUAGUAUUAGACCUAAAUAAUUGUUAUUUGGUGCCAGCGUUAAGCAUGAACAUUAUAUCUGGAUCUUGUUUGAUGCGAGACGGUUAUUCAUUUAAAUCAGAGAAUAAUGGUUGUUCUAUUUAUAUGAGUAAUAUCUUUUAUGGUCAUGCACCCUUGAAGAGUGGUCUAUUUUUGAUGAAUCUCGAUAGUAGUGAUACACAUAUUCAUAAUGUUGAAGCCAAAAGAUGCAGAGUUGAUAAUGAUAGUGCGACUUAUUUGUGGCACUACCGUUUAGGUCAUAUCGGUGUAAAGCGCAUGAAGAAACUCCAUACUGAUGGACUUUUGGAACCACUUGAUUAUGAAUCACUUGGUACUUGCGAACCGUGCCUCAUGGGCAAGAUGACUAAAACACCGUUCUCCGGUACUAUGGAGAGAGCAACAGAUUUGUUGGAAAUCAUACAUACAGAUGUAUGUGGUCCAAUGAAUGUUGAAGCUCAUGGUGGAUAUCGUUAUUUUCUCACCUUCACAGAUGAUUUAAGCAGAUAUGGGUAUAUCUACUUAAUGAAACAUAAGUCUGAAACAUUUGAAAAGUUCAAAGAAUUUCAGAGUGAAGUUGAAAAUCAUCGUAACAAGAAAAUAAAGUUUCUACGAUCUGAUCGUGGAGGAGAAUAUUUGAGUUACGAGUUUGGUCUACAUAUGAAACAAUGCGGAAUAGUUUCGCAACUCACGCCACCCGGAACACCACAGCGUAAUGGUGUGUUCGAACGUCGUAAUCAUACUUUACUUGAUAUGGUACGGUCUAUGAUGUCUCUUACAGAUUUACCGCUAUCGUUUUGGGGUUAUGCUUUAGAGACGGCCACAUUCACGUUAAAUAGGGCACCAUCAAAAUCUGUUGAGACGACGCCUUAUGAACUGUGGUUUGGCAAGAAACCAAAGUUGUCGUUUCUAAAAGUUUGGGGCUGUGAUGCUUAUGUGAAAAAACUUCAACCUGAUAAGCUCGAACCCAAAUUGGAGAAAUGUGUCUUCAUAGGAUACCCAAAGGGGACAGUUGGGUACACCUUCUAUCACAGAUCCGAAGGCAAGACAUUUGUUGCUAAGAAUGGAUCCUUUCUAGAGAAAGAGUUUCUCUCAAAAGAAGUGAGUGGGAGGAAAGUAGAACUUGAUGAGGUAACUAUACCUGCUCCCUUAUUGGAAAGUAGUACAUCACAGAAACCGGUUUCUGUGACACCUACACCAAUUAGUGAGGAAGUUAAUGAUGAUGAUCAUGAAACCUCAGAACAAGUUACUACUGAACCUCGUAGAUCAACCAUAGUAAGAUUCGCACCAGAGUGGUACGGUAAUCCUGUUCUGGAAGCCAUGCUACUAGAUCAUGAUGAACCUGCAAACUAUGAAGAAGCGAUGGUGAGCCCAGAUUCCGCAAAAUGGCUUGAAGCCAUGAAAUCUGAGAUGGGAUCCAUGUAUGAGAACAAAGUGUGGACUUUGGUUGACUUGCCCAAUGAUCGGCAAGCAAUUGAGAAUAAAUGGAUCUUCAAGAAGAAGACUGACGCUGACGGUAAUGUUACUGUCUACAAAGCUUGACUUGUCGCAAAAGGUUUUCGACAAGUUCAAGGGAUUGACUACGAUGAGACCUUCUCACCCAUAGCGAUGCUUAAAUCUGUCUGAAUCAUGUUAGCAAUUGCCGCAUUUUAUGAUUAUGAAAUUUGGCAGAUGGAUGUCAGAACUGCAUUCCCGAAUGGAUUUCUGGAAGAAGAGUUGUAUAUGAUGCAACCGGAAGGUUUUGUCGAUCCAAAGGGAACUAACAACGUGUGCAAACUCCAGCGAUCCAUUUAUGGACUGGUGCAAGCCUCUCGGAGUUGGAAUAAACACUUUGAUAGUGUGAUCAAAGCAUUUGGUUUUGUACUGACUUUUGGAGAAGCCUGUAUUUACAAGAAAGUGAGUGGGAGCUCUAUAGCAUUUCUGAAAUGAUAUAGAAUUUCUGGAUAGCAUAAAUGGAUACUUGAAUAAGAGUUUUUCAAUGAAAGACCUCGGUGAAGCUGCUUACAUAUUGGGCAUUAAGAUCUAUAGAGAUAGAUCAAGACGCUUAAUUGGACUUUCACAAAGCACAUACCUUGACAAAGUUUGGAAUAAGUUCAAAAUGGAUCAAGCAAAGAAAGGAUUCUUGCCUGUGUUACAAGGUGUGAAGUUGAGUAAGACUCAAUGCCCGACCACUGCAGAAGAUAGAGAGAAAAUGAAAGAUGAUCCCUAUGCUUUAGCCAUAGGCUCUAUCAUGUAUGCAAUGCUGUGUACCAGACCUGAUGUGUGUCUUGCUAUAAGUCUAGCAGGGAGGUACCAAAGUAAUCAAGGAGUGGAUCACUGGACAGCGGUCAAGAACAUCCUGAAAUACCUAAAAAGGACUAAGGAUAUGUUUCUCGUAUAUGGAGGUGACAAAGAGCUCAUCGUAAAUGGUUACGUUGAUGCAAGCUUUGACACUGAUCCGGACGAUUCUAAAUCGCAAACCGGAUACGUAUUUACAUUAAACGGUGGAGCUGUCAGUUGGUGCAGUUCUAAACAAAGCGUCGUGGCGGGAUCUACAUGUGAAGCGGAGUACAUAGCUGAUUCGGAAGCAGCAAACGAAGGAGUCUGGAUGAAGGAGUUCAUAUCCGAUCUAGGUGUCAUACCUAGUGCAUCGGAUCCAAUUGAAAUCUUUUGUGACAAUACUGGUGCAAUUGCCUUGGCAAAGGAAUCCAGAUUUCACAGGAGAACCAAGCACAUCAAGAGACGCUUCAACUCCAUCCGGGAUCUAGUCCAAGUGGGAGACAUAGAGAUUUUCAAGAUACAUACGGAUCUGAAUGUAGCAGACCCGUUGACUAAGCCUCUUCCACAAGCAAAACAUGAUCAGCACCAAGACUCCAUGGGUGUUAGAAUCAUUACUGUGUAAUCUAGAUUAUUGAAUCUAGUGCAAGUGGGAGACUGAAGGAAAUAUGCCCUAGAGGCAAUAAUAAAGUUAUUAUUUAUUUCCUUAUAUCAUGAUAAAUGUUUAUUAUUCAUGCUAGAAUUUUAUUAACCGGAAACAUAAUACUUGUGUGAAUACAUAGACAAACUAAACGUCACUAGUAUGCCUCUACUUGACUAGCUCGUUAAUCGAAGAUGGUUAUGUUUCCUAACCAUAGACAUGUGUUGUUAUUUGAUUAACGGGAUCACAUCAUUAGGAGAAUGAUGUGAUUGACAUGACCCAUUCCAUUAGCUUAGCACCCGAUCGUUUAGUAUGUUGCUAUUGCUUUCUUCGUGACUUAUACAUGUUCCUGUGACUAUGAGAUUAUACAACUCCCGUUUGUCGGAGGAACACUUUGUGUGCUACCAAACGUCACAACGUAACUGGGUGAUUAUAAAGGUGCUCUACAGGUGUCUCCAAAGGUACAUGUUGGGUUGGCGUAUUUCGAGAUUAGGAUUUGUCACUCCGAUUGUUAGAGAGGUAUCUCUGGGCCCUCUCGGUAAUGCACAUCACUUAAGCCUUGCAAGCAAUGCAACUAAUGAGUUAGCUGCGAGAUGAUGUAUUACGAAACGAGUAAAGAGACUUGCCGAUAACGAGAUUGGACUAGGUAUUGAGAUACCGACGAUCGAAUCUCGGGCAAGUAACAUACCGAUGACAAAGGGAACAAAGUAUGUUGUUAUGCGGUCUGACCGAUAAAGAUCUUCGUAGAAUAUGUAGGAGCCAAUAUGAGCAUCCAGGUUCCGCUAUUGGUUAUUGACCGGAGACGUGUCUCAGUCAUGUCUACAUUGUUCUCGAACCCGUAGGGUGCGCACGCUUAAUGUUACGAUGACAGUUUCAUUAUGAGUUUAUAUAUUUUGAUGUACCGAAGGUUGUUCGGAGUCCCGAAUAUGAUCACAGACAUGAUGAGGAGUCUUGAAAUGGUCGAGACAUAAAGAUCGAUAUAUUGGACGGCUAUAUUCGGACACCGGAAGUAUUUCAGGUGAUAUCGGGGAAAACCGGAGUGCCGGAAGGGUUACCGGAACCCCCCGGGGAAGUAUUGGGCCUUAGUGGGCCUGAGGGGAGAGAGAGGGCAGCAGCCCAGGAGGUGGCGCGCCCCCUCCCAUGAGGAGUCCGAAUUGGACUAGGGGAGGGGGGCGCGGCCCCUCUUUCCCUCUCCAUCUCCCUCUCUUUCCUUUCCCCUUCUCUCUUCCUAGUUGGACUAGGAAAAGGGAGUCCUACUCCUACUAAGAGGAGGACUCCCCCCCUCCUUGGCGCGCCCCAAGGGCCGGCCAGCCUCCCCCCUUGCUCCUUUAUAUACGGGGGCAGGGGGCACCUCUAUACACACAAGUUGAUCUUCGUGAUCAUUCUCUUAGCCGUGUGCGGUGCCCCCCUCCACCAUAAUCCUUGAUAAUAUUAUAGCGGUGCUUAGGCGAAGCCCUGCGAUGGUAGAACAUCAAGAUCGUCACCACGCCGUCGUGCUGUGGAACUCUUCCCCGACACUUUGCUGGAUCGGAGUCCGGGGAUCGUCAUCGAGCUGAACGUGUGCUAGAACUCGGAGGUGUCGUAGUUUCGGUGCUUGAUUGGUCGGGCCAUGAAGACGUACGACUACAUCAACCGCGUUGUGCUAACGCUUUCGCUUCCGGUCUACGAGGGUACGUAGACAACACUCUCCCCUCUCGUUGCUAUGCAUCACCAUGAUCUUGUGUGUGCGUAGGGAAAUUUUGAAAUUACUACGUUCCCCAACAGGAGGGGGCGCGCGGCCUGCCCUGGCCACCCCUCUCUCUCCACUAAAGCCCAUCUAGGCCCACUAGUUCCCCCGGGGGGGUCCGGUAACCCUCCAGCACUCCGGUUUUCUCCAAAAUCACCCGGAACACUUCCGGUGUCCGAAUAUAGCCGUCCAAUAUAUCAAUCUUUAUGUCUCGACCAUUUAGAUACUCCUCGUGAUGUCCAUGGUCAUAUCUGGGACUCCGAACUAUCUUAGGUACAUCAAAACACAUAAACUCAUAAUACUGAUCGUCACCAAACGUUAAGCGCGCGGACCUACGGAUUCGAGAACUAUGCAGACAUGACCGAGACUUGUCUCCGGUCAAUAAACAAUAGCGGAACCUAGAUGCUCAUAUUGGUUCCUACAUACUCUACGAAGAUCUUUAUCAGUCAAACCGCAUAACAACAUACGUUGUUCCAUUUGUCAUCGGUAUGUUACUUGCCCGAGAUUCAAUCGUUGGUAUCAUCAUACCUAGUUCAAUUUCAUUACUGGCAAGUCUCUUUACUCAUUCUGUAAUGCAUCAUCCCGCAACUAACUCAUUAGUCACAUUGCUUGCAAGGCUUAUAGUGAUGUGCAUUACCGAGAGGGCCCAAAGAUACCGCACCGACAAUCGGAGUGACAAAUCCUUAUCUCGAUCUAUGCCAACUCAACAAACACCAUUGGAGAUACCUGUAGAGCAUCUUUAUGAUCACCCAGUUACGUUGUGACGCUUGAUAGCACACUAAGUGUUCCUCCGGUAUUCUGGAGUUGCAUAAUCUCAUAGUCAUAGGAACAUGUAUAAGUUAUGGAGAAAGCAAUAGCAAUAUACUAAACGAUCAUAGUGCUAAGCUAACAGAUGGGUUAAGUCAAUCACAUCAUUCUCUAUUGAUGUGAUCUCGUUUAUCAAAUGACAACUCUUUGUUCAUGGUUAGGAAACUUAACCAUCUUUGAUUAACGAGCUAGUCAAGUAGAGGCAUACUAGUGACACUCUGUUUGUCUAUGCAUUCACACAUGUACUAAGUUUCCGGUUAAUACAAUUCUAGCAUGAAUAAUAAACAUAUAUCAUGAUAUAAGGAAAUAUAAAUAACAACUUUAUUAUUACCUCUAGGGCAUAUUUCACUCACUUCGUUAGCGUCAAAUGGGCAUUCCAUGUUCUUCAAUGUAUCCACACCAUUUUUAGGGGUCAUAACUCUUUGUUAAACCAAAUUCUCGGAGACUAUCACCUGUGUAUAUUCACAAACAUAUUAGUUCCUUAACUGUUUUGUCCAUAAAAUCAUUCAAAACCCUCAAGGGGCACUAGAUGCACUAAUGACACUAAUUAGUAGGUGUGUGUGUGCGUGAGAGAGAGAGAGAGAGAGUCUUGCCUUCUCUUAGCUACGAGAUGGUAUCUUAUGAAGAAAGCUAAGACAUUUGUCCAUUGUACAUGUUGUCUUAUCUUAUUUACAUGUUUUUAGUUUUAAUUUUGCAUGUCCCUCAAUUUUAGGAUGUUGUAGCAUUAAAUGGUAGAGAUAACACUAACAUAUAAUCCAUUGUUUAAGCAAACUGAGUGUAGCUCAUAUGACUAGGUUCCUUGUGGUUAAACCUGCCCAGCCGGAUUCAAGUCCUAUAUUGGAUACGUGUGGUUGCAUUUUAUUGUAUAUAUUUCAGACUUCUCGACACUAUUCUUUCGUAGGUAUGGUGUGCCCGUCGAUUAUGAGGCAUCUAUGGGGACUUUAUCAGUCUCAAAAUAUUUCUACUCGGUGUCUCAAAGGUGCUCAUAAGGGUAAUAUCUAUGUACAUGUAUAUGGAUGAGUGUGCGUCUACGUUUGUACUUUAUUCCUAAUAAAGAAACAUUGUAUAACAUGCAUAUAUUAGUGCCUUCACUAAAUAAUGUGCAACACACAAGAAAAGACCGUCUAAUCAACCAUUGUACAUGCCUUAAUAGAUUAGCUGAUAAACCUCACUUUAGGUGUGGAUCCAACCUUGCACCUAAAAUUUUCCAAUAGGUCUUUCAACACCAGGUUUGAACCAGAUGACGCCAUUUGCAUCUUGGUUAUCAUCCCCCCUUCUCGUUUGGUUGUUUGUUGGUCUCUUUUGCCCUCCUACAUUAGCCACUAAGCAACUGAAGAAGAGGGAAAUGGAGACUUAUGUCGAUGGUGAGGAUUAUGCCCGAGUGUCGAUGGUGAAGCAACUCUGGCGAGGUGUUGGCUGCAAUAGGACUGUAUUGUAAUCUAGUUUCAGCCUCUAUAUAGGGCCAUUCUUGUAAAAAGGAGGACAUGAAUGUAAAUGUUUUUUCUUUCCGAAUCCUCUUUGAAGUGGUGUAUCACUUUUGACAUAGCCACACAUUUUGGGGGGCUUUUUUUAAACACAGUACACAUGCAGACAUUCAUAUAUACGCACAUACAUUCAUCGCUAUGAACACACGCACGCAUACCCUACCACUAUGGUCACCUUCCAGAGACAAAGCCGGCACAUCAUUUUGAGAUUGACAAAGUCACCACAGACGUUUUCGUAGUCGACCGAACGUCUUCUCCCACCGAACGCACAUCGCCGCAAGGACCGGAAGAAUGCCAGGAAAAUGCAAGCACCAAUGUCAAGUGUGGGACUUGAUCUCUGGUGGGCAGGGGAUACUACUUUCUUCCUAACCAUUUAACCACAGGUUGGUUCACGCAUUUUGAGGGACCUUGGGUCGUGUUUCUCUUUUUAAAAAAGCUCCUCUUGGUUCGGCUCUUCUUUCGAGGAGCCAUCCGAACCAGUGGCUCAACAUUUCAGCUAAGAUAUCAAUGGCCCACAAGUGCUGAACUUAUGGACUGAGUUGGGCUCCUACAUCUCACCUAUGUAUCAAAGAAGUAGUGCAUCCAAAAUCGUAUGAGAAGAUAUAUAACCAAGUACUGAAUGAAAAUGCUAAAUGGAGGACGAGCACCAUAAAACUCUUUUUUCUGAAAAUUUCAAAAAUCAUAUUUUUGAAGUUUCAGAAAAUUCUAAAAAAUCACACACCUUCAUACGGAUGUAGUACACUACAUGUGUCUAAACUUUCAAAAUGAAAUAGAUUACUGUUCACCAUUUUGAAAAUCAUAACUUUGUUUUUUUAGUGUAGCUCUCACCAAAAUGUUUCAUUGCCAAACUUUAUACACAUGUAAAGUACGGUCAUAUGAACUUGUAGAAUUAUUUUAGGAUUUUAAAAACUAAAAAAAAUGUGACUUGAUUUUUUUUAAAGAGCUCCAUGGAGCUCGUCCUCGAGAACACCCUACUCCAAAAUGAAAAUGCUCAAAUGUAGUUUUUCCUGCUUGACCUCUACCGGAGGUACUAACUCGUUGUGGCUCUACCAGAAAGCAAAACCUUGAUGUAAUUUCUCUUGCUUGACCUCUUUCUUCUUUGAGUCCCUCACAAGUCACAAAUAAAAGAUCAGAUAAUUGGAUUUCAUACCGAGAGAGCGUAAUAGUGUUGACAUUUAUUGUCCGUCUUCUUUCAUUAGCUCAGACUUUUAAAACAACUAGCUGGUGGAUGAAAUCAGUUCGGUAUUCGAGCCAAGUGAUCUCCAGUUCAAGAUUCUGCCAACAUGGUAUUAUUAUUUUUUUGCGGCCUACAGCGGUCCCACGUUUAAGGACUAAAGAAGCUUAGACCUGAGGUGAAGUAUUGAAAUAUAUUGUUUAGUUAUAUCCAUCAGUUUAGAUUUUUGAAGUAAUUGGCCGGAGUAUGAAUUCAAUAAUAGUUAGAUCGAUACUCAGAAUCACGAGAUACUUUCGGCCAGAACUCCAGAUCAUGUAUUCACCCGUGUCAAAAGAAAAGUCAUGUAUUUACAGCUUGUCAACCUAGCCUAACAUGGGCCCCAGCAGCUGAGGUACAUGACCAUCCUCAGCGACUCCUCGGCGGCAACCGAGACGCCAUCGACCUUGACGGCCGACGACCGGACAGCCACCACCGGCAGGC